rnacentral:lncRNA from 1 species
CCGCCGGGCCUCUCGAGCGACAAGACUAAUCCUCAAUGGCCCCCCUAGCCGGCCUGAGAGGCUGCCAGCCGACCCCCCCUAUUGUACCUAUUAUCCAUUUUGUAGGCCGGUGGGUUCGUCUAUAACCCCCCGGCCCCCCUCCAUGCAGAGGGCCAGCCAUUCUCACACCCACACACAUCACACAGGAGAGGCAGAUAGCGAGCCGGCUGCUCCUUCUUCCUCCUCCAUCGAACAGCUCAAGGAGCAUUUUGUAAUCACCUUGGUUCAUCAGCCAUUCCGAUAGGACUAGGGGUAUUAUCUCCCAUGGAGAGCCCCGAACCUGGGUACAUCGUGUGUCUUGCAUUAUUAGCUACCAAUCUCGUUCCCGGAGUCCACCGGUGUCCCUUCAGUCCCAACCACUCUCGAUAAGCCUACCCAUGGCAUUUGUCGUGAGAAAACGACGAUAGUUGGCGCCCACCAUGGGGCCGUCUGCGGCACCGGUCUGAGUUACGCUCGGGCGGGACCCUUCGCCAACCCUACCGGAUGCCUCGCGUCUCGACUGAUCAGCACACCCAUGGAGGCUGCCCCUGCGGAGGUUUCUGUGGUGUUGAUCGACAACUCAGCCCGUCUCGUCGGCUCUGCCAUUGAGAUCACCAACGAGCCUCUCGGUGACGGCGUUGCCCCUGACGUCGCUCGCCUCUGCGUUCUCUUCGACAACCUACGCCUCGAUGAUGAGCCUCGCCAACUUGGCAGGGACAUCGACAUCGAUGCCCUCUGCACACACUUCAACAAACUCAGUCUCGAAGAUGCUCCUGCACACGACGAGUACCUGAUACGUCUCCAACGUAUCUAUAAUUUUUUAUGGUUCCAUGCUAUUAUAUUGUCAAACUUUGGAUGUUUUGUAUGACUUUUAUAUCUUUUUUGGGACUAACUUAUUAACUCAGUGCCAAGUGCCAGUUCCUGUUUUUUCCGUGUUUUGACCCUUUUCACACGAGAAUAUUAAAUGGAGUCCAAACGGAAUAAAACUUCCGAAAAGAUGUUUUCCGGAACAGAAGAUACGCAUGGGGCAUGAGAACCAAGGCAGAGGCCACCAUGGGAGGCCACAAGCCCCCUAGGCGCGUCCAGGGGGACCUGCGCCUAGCAGGCUUGUGGCCCCCCUGUGGCUCGUCUGCCCUACUUCUUCCGCCUAUAAAUCCUCGAAAAAUCCAAAACCACGAGAGAGAUCGACGAAAAUACUUUUCGGCCGCCGCAAGCUUCUGUCCCCGCAAGAUCCCAUCUGGGGCACGUUCUGGUGCCCUUCCGGAGGGGGAUUCGGAUACGGAGGGCUUCUUCAUCAACACCAUUGCCUCUCUGAUGAUGCGUGAGUAGUUCACCCUGGACCUUCGGGUCCAUAGCUAGUAGCUAGAUGGCUUCUUCUCUCUCUUGGAUCUUCAAUACAAAGUUCUCCAUGAUCUUCAUGGAGAUCUAUCCGAUGUAAUAUUCUUUUGCGGUGUGUUUGUCGAGAUCCGAUGAAUUGUGGAUUUCUGAUCAGAUUAUCUAUGAAUCUUAUUUGAGUUUCUUCUGAUCUCUUAUAUGCAUGAUUUCAUAUCCUUGUAAUUCUCUUCGAGUUGUGGGUUUUGUUUGGCCAACUUGAUCUAUGAUUCUUGCAAUGGGAGAAGUGCUUAGUUUUGGGUUCAUACCGUGCGGUGACCUCACCCAGUGACAGAAGGGGUGGCGAGGCACGCAUCGUGUUGUUGCCAUCAAGGGUAAAAGGAUGGGGUUUAUAUCUAUUGCAUGAAGUUAUCCAUCUACAUCAUGUGAUCUUUCUUAAGGCAUUACUCUGUUCGUCAUGAAUUCAAUACACUAGAUGCAUGCUGGAUAGCGGUCGAUGUGUGGAAUAAUAGUAGUUGAUGCAGAAAGUAUCGGUCUACUUGUCUCGAAUGUGAUGCCUAUAUGUAUGAUCAUUGCCUUAGAUAUCGUCAUGACUUUGCGCUGUUCUAUCAAUUACUCGACAGUAAUUUGUUCACCCACCGUAAUAUUUGCUAUUUUGAGAGAAGCCUCUAGUGAACACUAUGGCCCCCGGGUCUACUUCACAUCAUAUUUUCAGCCUUACACUUUUACUUCAUUGCACUUUCCGCCUUCAGAUCUCACUUUGCAAUUAAUCUUGAAGGGAUUGACAACCCCUUUAUAGUGUUGGGUGCAAGCUCGUUUGUGUUUGCGCAGGUACUCUGGACACUUGGCUUGAUUCUCCUACUGGAUUGAUACCUUGGUUCUCAAACUGAGGAAAAUACUUACUGCUACUAUGCUGCAUCACCCUUUCCUCUUCAAGGGAAAAACGAACGCAAGCUCUAGAGGUAACAAGAAGAAUUUCUGGCGCCGUUGCCGGGGAGGAUCAUGUCAAGAAUAGUCUCCCGUCAACGUGUCAAUUUCUGGCACCGGGGAUUAUUCUAAGUGAAGCUUAUCCAAGUAAGUGUCGCAAACUCAUCUCUUGAAUUUACUUUUUUUUGCCUCUAGUUUUCCUCUCCCCCACUUCUGAAAAAAACAAAAAUUUACAAAAAUAUUUUCCUUUUUCGUUCGCCCUUUUCCUUCGCUUGCUUCCUGCCUGCUUGAGUGGGAUAGUCUACCUUUCCUCAUGGCUAGACCUACCGCUUCGAACGAUACUCCCGAGAGCGAAGUUCUCAAUUUUAAACAAAAUUAGGAAGAAGACUUAAAUGACGCUUGGUAUAGGAUUUGCAACACUCAGAGUAGAUCUACUCGUAAGCAAUCUACUACCGUCCUACUUCGCAGCUUUUAUGUGGGUAUUUACCCUUGGAAUAGGUAUGUUCUUGAUACCAUCGUAGGUGGAAGUUUCUUGGGUAGCCAUACCGUUGAUUCUUACGGUGCUUUGAUAAAUCUGGUAGGCUCACCCCCACUCAUGGUUAAUGGAACCAACUUAACUUUGGAACAUGUGAUGCGUAGGUUGGAUAUCAUUGAAAAUAAAGUUGCUACGAUUGAACUCAUUGAGAAUUUGGAUAAAAAGAUCCACAAUCAAAUCACUCAGUACGGAUCCAAGGUGGGAAUGGCUUUGAAAAAUCUAAAGGAGAGGGAACCCACAGUUAACAAAAACUAGGUCAUCAUUCCGCUAGGAUUGGCAAACUAGAGGAUGUUAUAACCAACUUGGGUUCCGCUUUUGCCGCUGUGCAGAACACUCCAAUUUUUACCCACAAUAAGGCCACCAAGUUUGUUUUUGUUCCUAAAAAUAGUGGUGAACCAUCUAGUAAUAUAGAUGAAGACCUUAAGAUGAUGAGGGCUAUUUAUGGUUUGAGCACCAAAGACGAGGAUAUGUGAUUCUUUCACCUUAUGCCUAGCUAAGGGCGUUAAACAAUAACGCUUGUUGGGAGGCAACCCAAUGAAUUUAUAUUUGAUUUUUGCUUUCUGUUUUGUUGCGUCCACACCAUCAUAAUUCUGUUAUGAUUGUGUCUUUUGUGUUUGAGCCAAGUAAAACCUUUAUGACUAGUUUGGUGAUGGUUGUUUGAUCCUGCUGGAAAAAGACAGAAACUUUUCGCUCACGAAAUUAUUUUUCAUUUUAAUCCAUAAAGAGAUUUUGAGUUGAUUCUUUUUGUUGCUGGUUGAUAUGGCAAUUGCCCAAACUGUCGUAAUGUUUCAGAAUUGUUGAGAUACCAGAAGUAUACGAAGUAUACAGAUUGCUACAGACUGGUCUGUUUUUGACAUAUUCUGUUUUUGUUGUGUUGGUUGCUUGUUUUGAUGAAACUAUGUAUAGUAUCGGGGGGGGCGGGUACUGAUACGUCUCCAUCGUAUCUACUUUUCCAAACUCUUUUGCCCUUGUUUUGGACUCUAAUUUGCAUGAUUUGAAUGGAACUAACCCGGACUGACGUUGUUUUCAGCAGAAUUGCCAUGGUGUUGUUUUUGUGCAGAAAUGAAAGUUCUCGGAAUGUCUUGAAACUUUACGGAGAAUAUUUAUGGAAAAUAUGAAAAAUACCUGUGCAAAGAUCCACCGGAGGGGACGGGCCAGUGGGCCACAAGCCCUGUAGCCGCGGCCUCCCCUCUGGUCGCGGCUACGAGGCUUGUGGGGCCCACGUGCCUCUGCCGCCCCCAAUUCCAGCGCUAUAUAUUCCCUUUCAUCCCGGAAAAAAUCAAGAGAGAAGAGUUCAUUGCGUUUCACGAUCCAGAGGCGCCUCCACAUCCCGUUCUUGCCCUGGAGGGCAGAUCUGGAGUCUGUUUUGUGCUCCGGAUCAAGGAGAUCGUCGCCAUCGUCAUCAUCAACCUUCUUCCCUCUCCAAUUCCAUGAAACUCUUCAUCGUUCGUGAGUAAUCUAUUCAUAGGCUCGCUGGGCGGUGAUGAGUAUGAUGAGAUCUAUCAUGUAAUCGAGUUAGUUUUGACGGGGAUUGAUCCCUAGUAUCCACUAUGUUCUGAGAUUGAUGUUGCUACUACUUGGCUAUGCUUAAUGCUUGAAACUAGGGCCCGAGUGCCAUGAAUUCAGAUCUGAACCUAUUAUGUUGUCACCAAUAUAUGUGUGUUUUAGAUCCGAUCUUGCAAGUUGUAGUUACCUACUAUGUGUUAUGAUCCGGCAACCCCGGAGUGACAAUAACCGGAACCACUCUCAUUGAUGACCAUAGUUUGAGGAGUUUAUGUGUUCACCAAGUGCUAAUGCGUUGGUCCGGUUCUUUAUUAAAAGGAGAACCUUAAUAUCCCGUAGUAUCCAUUUGGACCCCGCUGCCACGGGAGGGAUGGACAAUAGAUGUCAUACAAGUUCUUUUCCCUAAGCACGUAUGACUACACACGGAAUGCAUGCCUACAUCACAUUGACGAACGGGAGCUAGCCACAUAUCUCUCCGUGUUAUAACUGUUGCAUGAUGAAUGUCAUCCAACAAAUCACUGAUCCAUUGCCUACGAGUUUGUCCCACUGCUAUUGUUACUUGCUGCUGCUGUUACUUGCUUUGCUCUGCUGCUGUUACUACGGUUGCUGCUACUGUUACUUGCUUCUACUAUUACUUGCUUCGUCAUGCUGCUGCUGCUACUACUGUUGCUACUACUGUUACUUGCUGUUGCUGUUACUUGCUACUGUUGCUAAUUGCUACUCCUAUCACUACUGCUGUUCCUUGCCACUACUGUUACUCGUUACACUGCUGCUACCUGCUACAAUACUUUUCUGGUGCCAUUGAUACUUCAGUUAGGAAUAAUCUGUCGUCAACAGAUUCUUUCCUAGCACCGUUGCUAUCAUACUACCUUUGCUGCUUAUAUACUGCUUGCAGAUACUAAUCUUUCAAUUGUGUUUGAGCCAACAACUCAACUGCUAAUACUGGAGAAUAUCCUUUCAUUCCCAUCGUGUCGAACCAACAAAUUUGGGUUGAAUACUCUACCCUCAAAACCUGCCGCGAUCCCACACGCUGGUGGGCCAUUGCAAGACAAUUGCUAAUUGUUGAGCAACUGGAAACAACUCUUUUUUGGCACCGUUGCCGAGGAGGAAUAGCUAUAUUCUCUGAGUCACUUGGGAUUUAUAUCUUGUGAUCACUAUGAAGAAUCGGAAAGAUCUGAGAACCAAAGUCUUGCCCUCAACUCUGAGGGGAGGUAAGGAACUGCCAUCUAGCUCUGCACUUGAUUCACCUUCAGUUAUGAGUAAGUUUGCGACACCACCUCGUGCUAGAAAUCUUGAUAUGUCGCGUGUGCUAGAUGAUGCUAGAGAUGCUACUGCUAUUGAUGAUGCUUAUGAUGAUACUAUGCCUGAUACUGCUAGAGAUGCUAUGCGUGAUACUGCUAGAGAUGCUAUGCCUGAUACUGCUAUCCAUGAUGCUAUGCUUGAUGCUGCUUUGCCUGAUGAUGCUAGAGAUGCUAUUUUGCCUGAUUAUGCUAUGCUUGAUACUGCUAGAGAUACUACUUUGCCUGAUAUGCCACUAGGGGUAUUCCUUGAUGCUCAUAUUGCUAGAGUUAUUGCCAAUGCUCGUGAUGCUUCUGAAACUCUCGAUACUAUUGAGAUAGAACCUGCUUUUGCUCCUGCUAGAUCUAGCUCUCCUAGAUAUGAAUUGCCUGAUAUACCUGAGGGUUAUGUUAUGGAGGGAGAGAUAGCUGAGGAUUUUCUUGCGUGUAAGGAUGGCUAUGACGCUGAGAAAUUACUUCUCAAGUGGAAGGAAAAAUCUCUGAAAGCUAGGAUGAAAUACAACCCGAAGUUUGCCACUUCACCUAUCUUUAUCACCGAUGAGGAUUAUGAAUUCUCUGUCGACCCUGAGAUAAUCUCUCUUGUCGAAUCUGAUCCUUUCCACGGUAAUGAGUUUGAGACGGUCGUAGCCCAUCUUACCAAACUACACGAUAUAGCCACCCUUUUCACUAGUGAGGAGAAGAUCCGCUACUACUAUAUCCUUAAGUUGUUUCCUUUCUCUCUAAAGGAUGACGCUAAAUCCUAGUUCACUUCUCUUGCUCCUGGAUGUGUGAGUAGUCCCCAGGAUAUGGUCUAUUACUUCUGUGAGAAAUAUUUCCCUGCCCAUAAGAAGCAAGCUGCCUUGCAGGAAAUAUACAACUUUGCUCAACUCAAAGAAGAGUGUCUCCCACAAGCUUGGGGGAGGCUCAUCCAGCUACAGAAUGCUUUGCCUGAUCACCCUCUUAAGAAGAACGAGAGACUUGAUAUCUUCUAUAACAGACUUACCGAUGCUUCUAGAGACCACCUAGAUAGUUGUGCCGGUUGUGUUUUUAGGGAACGAAUUGUAGAACAAGUUGAGAUCCUACUGAAUAACAUCUUGAUCAACAAUAAUGCUUGGACUAUUCCCGAACCACCUCCUAAGCCAUAUCCCAAGAAAAGAGGUAUUCUAUUCCUCAGUCCUGAAGAUAUGCAAGAAGCCAAGAAAUCUUUGCAAGAGAAAGGCAUUAGAUCUGAAGAAAUCAAAAAUCUACCGCCUAUCGAAGAGAUCCAUGCUCUCGAUAACCCGAUACAAGUAGUAGAGGUGAAUUCUCUGCGUAGAUUCAAUGAGAGUGAUAUUCCUUUUGAUAAACCUGCUAGCCUAUGCUUUGAUGAAUUUGACAACUUUGUUGCCAAACAACAAAGUUUCAAUGAUUAUGUUAGCAGACAAUUGGAACAACGUACUCACAUGCUUAGUCAUUUAAGUGCUUGUGUAGAGAGAAAUGUCAAUGAUCUGAAGCUUCUGAGUAAACAUGCCUCAAUGAUUACUACUCAGGUAGAACAAGUACUUAAAGCUCAGAAUGACGUGCUCAAUGAAUUAAUGACAACUCUGUCAGAGUCAUUACUAGAGGAGGCAAAAUGACUCAGGAACCCUUGUAUCCUGAAGGCCAUCCUAAGAGAAUUGAUCAACAUUCUCAAGGUAUUAAUGCUCAUACACCCAGUCAUCCUAAGAAUAAGAAGAAGGAUGAUAGAAACCUACAUGUCAGUUCACCAAAUACUGUAACACCUGAAGAACCAAAUGAUAUUUCUGCGUCUGAUGCAGAAACACAAUCUGGUGAUGAACAUGAACCUGGUGACAAUAUGGACAGCGAUGUUCAUAAUAAUGCUCAACCUAGCAAUGAUAAGGAUGUGGAGAUUGAACCUACGGUUAAUCCUGAUAACCCACAACCUAAGAGGUACGAUAAGAAUGACUUCACUGCUAGGAGGCAUGGUAAAGAAAGGGAGCCAUGGGUUCAGAGACCCAUGCCCUUUCCUCCUAAGCCAUCCAAGAAAAAGGAUGAUGAUGAUUUUGAGCGCUUUAUUGAAAUGUUGAGACCCGUCUUUCUGCGUAUGCGGUUAAUUGAUAUGCUCAAAAUGUCUCCAUAUGCCAAGUACAUGAAAUAUAUCGUGACCAAUAAACGGAAGAUACCAGAUCUUGAGAUCUCCACCAUGCUUGCCAAUUACACUUCCAAAGGUGGAACUCCUAAGAAACUUGGUGAUCCCGGAGUGCCCACUAUACCUUGCUCCAUUAAAGGAAACUACGUAAGAACUGCCUUAUGUGACCUUGGAGCCGGUGUUAGUGUUAUGCCUCUCUCUCUCUUUAUCGUAGACUUGAACUGGAUAAGUUGACACCCACUGAAAUUUCUCUGCAAAUGGCCGACAAAUCAACUGCUUUCCCUGUCAGCAUUUGCGAGGAUGUGCCUGUUGUGGUUGCUAACGUUGCUAUCUUAACGGACUUUGUUAUCCUGGAUAUUCCUGAGGAUGAUGCCAUGGCGAUCAUUCUUGGAAGACCAUUCUUAAACACUGCAAGGGCUGUUAUAGAUUGCAGCAAAGGCAAUGUCACCUUCCAUGUCAACGGUAAUGAGCAUACAGUGCACUUUCCAAAGAAACGAUAUCAAGUACAUUGCAUCAAUGCUAUCGAAAAAACAUCAUCGAUUCUUAUUGGGAGCUUUGAAUUCCCUAUUCCUCGUGUUAAGAUGAAGUAUGAUUUGCUUGUUGGGGAGAUUCAUGUCCCCAUUGAGGUGACUUAGUGGCUAUUCGACAAUUCUCUGUUUCCUUUUGCGAUUCGAAAAGGUUUUGUCGAGGGGAUUUGAUCAACCCCAUUGACGGAUUUCUUUCGAUGACCAUGAAAUGGAUGAAUCAAGGAGUCACAUACCUCUGUUUUAAGCUUUCACUUUCUGUUGUUUAGAAGGAAAAAUGAUAGAUUUAGUUUAGUUUUUCCUGUUUUCUGUUUUAGCGUCCCAGAGAAAAGUAUCCCGAAAAUAGAAGUUCUACGAUGGCCCUGAAAAUCAAAUAUGAUUUUUUCUGGUUUUUUUGAAAAAUACUGGGACUGAGAGCUGGCCUGGGAGCCACACCAGUGGGCCACAAGCCCUGUAGCCGCGGCCUCCCCUGGCCGCGGCUACCAAGCUUGUGGGGCCCACAGGGACCCCCUCCACUCAUUCUAGCUCCCAUCCUCUUCUUCUACCUCCAGAAAAAAUCGUUUUACAGCUCCAACCCGUGCUCUUGCUCAUUUGGCUGUGAUUUUCGAUCUCCUUGCUCAAAGCACCAUUCUACGAACCGUUUUGGGGAAAUUACUCCUUGGUAAGUGACUCCUCCAUUGGUCCAAUUAGUUACUCUAGUGCUUUAUCCUUCGCGUAUUCUUUCUACCUUGGUGACCCUGUUCUUGAACUUGAAAUGUUGAUUUUAGUUCGUCCCAAGUAGUUUUAACGCGUGAUACGGUCUCUAGGCACUAGUAGGAGUAGUUGCUACAAGGUUUGGUUGGUCUUUAUUCACUUUUCUCUUGAACUUCAAAAAUUUCAGCAAAAAUAAAUUAUGUUUAGGAGGAAGUUUCAUGGUGGUUCCUCAAGUAAGAAGGGUCCCCGUCUUUCUAUUAAGGAGCCCGAUCCUUAUGAACUAAGGGACGCACCGGUACAACCAUGUGAAUGGCCUUCCGAUGAGUUCAUGAUCGAAGCAGGCUUCAAGGAUGAGUUUGAUACACUUGUCCACAAUGCCGAGUUAGAAGAAUUCCUCUCAGAUAAAUGUGAACAGUAUGCUAUGCUCACUGCCUCUUUCAUGCGUAGAUUUAAAUUUUUAGUUGGCCGUGACUCAUCCAUACUGUUUGAUCUGUAUGAUAAAUCCUACACCAUGGAUUUGGAGGAUUUCAAUAGGAUUUGCAAGAUACCCGAUGGGGGUAGUCUUAAUGAUCCUGCUAAGUCUUCGGUUAGAUAUUUUUUUUCUCUAGUAUAACUGUUGGAGAAACUAGAGACAUCACGCAAGCUACCAUAGGAAGCAUUCAUUUCCCUGCCUUGCACUACUUUGCCCUCUUCAUAGGUAGAUGCAUUAACGGCAAGGUUGAACAUUGUCACCUAUGCGCAUCCGACCUUAGUAUCCUUAAGAGCGCAAUAACAGGUGACAGGAGCUUCAACAUGGGAGCUAUAAUAGCAAGGAGGCUGAAUAAUAAUGCCAUUGAUAUUAGUUUACCGUGAGACCUAUGUGUCACUUGCUUAUGUGGUUAACUUGUGAUCUUGCUGAAAUUCUGGUUAUGAGUUAGACAUAGUUGCAACAUCAAGAUCAAACAGAGUUUGUCAAAGUUUUUCGUUCUCUUUUAGUUUGUCAACUGAGUUGCUUGAGGACAAGCAAGGUUUUAAGCGUGGGGGAGUUGAUACGUCUCCAUCGUAUCUACUUUUCCAAACUCUUUUGCAAUUGUUUUGGACUCUAAUUUGCAUGAUUUGAAUGGAACUAACCCGGACUGACGCUGUUUUCAGCAGAAUUGCCAUGGUGUUGUUUUUGUGCAGAAAUGAAAGUUCUCGGAACGUCUUGAAAAUUUACGGAGAAUAUUUCUGGAAAAUAUGAAAAAUACCUGCGCAAAGAUCCACCGGAGGGGACGGGCUAGUGGGCCACAAGCCCUGUAGCCGCGGCCUCCCCCCUGGUCGCGGCUACCAGGCUUGUGGGGCCCACGUGGCUCUGCCGCCCCCAAUUCCAGCACUAUUUAUUCCCUUUCGUCCCGGAAAAAAUCAGGAGAGAAGAGUUCAUCGCGUUUCACGAUCCAGAGGCGCCGCCACAUCCCGUUCUUGCCCUGGAGGGUAGAUCUGGAGUCCGUUUUGGGCUCCGGAUCAAGGAGAUCGUCGCCAUCGUGAUCAUCAACCUUCUUCCCUCUCCAAUUCCAUGAAGCUCUUCAUUGUUCGUGAGUAAUCUAUUCGUAGGCUCGCUGGGCGGUGAUGAGUAGGAUGAGAUCUAACAUGUAAUCGAGUUAGUUUUGACGGGGAUUGAUCCCUAGUAUCCACUAUGUUCUGAGAUUGAUGUUGCUACUACUUGGCUAUGCUUAAUGCUUGUCACUAGGGCCCGAGUGCCAUGAAUUCAGAUCUGAACCUAUUAUGUUGUCACCAACAUAUAUAUGUGUUUUAGAUCCGAUCUUGCAAGUUGUAGUUACCUACUAUGUGUUAUGAUCCGGCAACCCUGGAGUGACAAUAACCGGAACCACUCCCGGUGAUGACCAUAGUUUGAGGAGUUCAUGUGUUCACCAAGUGCUAAUGCGUUGGUCCGGUUCUUUAUUAGAAGGAGAACCUUAAUAUCCCGUAGUAUCCAUUUGGACCCCGCUGCCACGGGAGGGAUGGGCAAUAGAUGUCAUACAAGUUCCUUUCCCUAAGCACGUAUGACUACACACAGAAUGCAUGCCUACAUCACAUUGACGAACGGGAGCUAGCCACAUAUCUCUCCGUGUUAUAACUGUUGCAUGAUGAAUGUCAUCCAACAAAUCACCGAUCCAUUGCCUACGAGUUUGUCCCACUGCUAUUGUUACUUGCUGCUGCUGUUACUUGCUUUGCUCUGCUGCUGUUACUACUAUUGCUGCUACUGUUACUUGCUUUGUCAUGCUGCUGCUGCCACUACUGUUGCUACUACUGUUACUUGUUGUUGCUGUUACUUGCUACUGUUGCUACUUGCUACUGCUGUCACUACUGCUGUUCCUUGCCACUGUUGUUACUCGUUACACUGCUGCUACCUGCUAGAAUACUUUUCUUGCGUCAUUGAUACUUCAGUUAGGAAUAAUCUGCCGUCAACAGAUUCUUUCCUAGCACUGUUGCUAUCAUACUACCUUUGCUGCUUAUAUCCUGCUUGCAGAUACUAAUCUUUCAGGUGUGGUUGAGCCGACAACUCAACUGCUAAUACUUGAGAAUAUCCUUUCACUCCCAUUGUGUCGAACCAACAAAUUUGGGUUGAAUACUCUACCCUCGAAAACUGCCGCGAUCCCACACGCUGGUGGGCCAUUGCAAGACAAUUGCUAAUUGUUGAGCAUCUGGAAGUAGGUACUAGCCAUGGAAAAGUGAGAAUACAGUAAUCUAACACCAAUAUAAAUAGAAAUCAAGUUUGCUACAGUACCUCAAGAGGUGGUAGUUUGUUUUCUUGUGCUAAUAAUAUCACGAGUUUCUGUUUAAGUUUUGUGUUGUGAAGUUUUCAAGUUUUGAGUGAUGUUCUCAUGGCCAAAGGGAUAAAGAGUGGAAAGAGCUCAAUCUUGGGGAUGCCCAAGGCACCCCAAGACAAAUUCAAGGACACCAAAAAGCCUAAGCUUGGGGAUGCCCCGGGAAGGCAUCCCCUCUUUCGUAUUCAAUCCAUCGGUAACAUUACUUCGAGCUAUAUUUUUAUUCACCACAUGGUAUGUGUUUUGCUUGGAGCGUCUUGUAUCGUAGGAGUCUUUUAUUUUUGUUGUGUCACAAUCAUCCUUGCUGCACACCUUUGGAGAGAGACAUGCACUCAUCCUGAUUUUGCUAGAAUACUCUUUGAGCUUCACUUAUAUCUUUUGAGUUAGGCAAUUUAGCUCACAUGCGCUUCACUUCGAUCUUUUAGAGCACGACAGUGUUAUAUUUUGGAGAAAUAAGGACUCUCGAUCUUCACUUAUAUCUUUUUGAGAGUGAUCUCUCUGAGUAACUUGGUAGUUGGCUUGUGCUAUGAAAGUAGUCCCAAAGGUGAUAGGAAUCCAAAGAGCAUACGAUGAAACUUCCAUCUUCUUGUUCAUUGAUUAGAAAGAGAAGUUUGAUUCCUCUCAAUUAGUUUUGAGAUAUGGAUUUGGUGAUACUAAGAGUUAUGUUAGUAGGGUGUUGUGAAUCUAGAAAUACUUGUGUUGAAGUUAGUGAUUAACGUAACAUGCACGUAUGGUGAACCGCUAUGUUAGGAAGUCAGAGCAUAAUUGAUCUAUUGAUUGUCAUCCUUUGUGUUGCGGUCGGGAUCGCGCGAUGGUUAACACCUACGAACCCUUCCCCUAGGAGUAUGCGUUUAGCACUUUGUUUUGAUUACUAAUAAAAACUUUCGCAAUAAGUAUGGGAGUUCUUCAUGACUAACGUGAGUCCAUGGUAUAGAUGCACUUUCACCUUCCACCAUUGCUAGCCUCUUUAGUGCCGCGCAACUUUCAUCGGUGCACAAACCCACCAUAUGCCUUCCUCAAAACAGCCACCAUAAGUACCUACUAUGGCAUCUUCAUAGCCAUUCCCAGAUAUAUUGCCAUGCAACUCCCACCGUUCCAUCUCAUGACUUGUGCCGUCACUUUCAUAUUGCCAUUGCAUGAUCGUAAGAUAGCUAGUGAGUCAUAUGCCAAGCUAGAUCGUUGCACAUCCCGGUACAUUGCCGGAGGCAUUUCCUAUAAGAGUCAUCAUUGUUCUAAGCAUUGAGCUUUUAGUAAAUUAAAGUGUGAUGAUCAUCAUUAUUAGAGCAGUGUCCCAUGUGAGUAAAUAAAAAAAAGGCCAAAGUGGCCCACAAAAAAAUAUAUAUGGAAAGAGGCCAAAGAGCCCCCAAAAAAGGAAGAGAGAAAAAGAGAGAAUGGACAAUGCUACUAUCUUUUUCCACACUUGUGCUUCAUAAUAGCACCAUGUUCUUCAUGAUUGAGAGUCUCUUGAUUUGUCACCACCAUAUGCUAGUGGGAAUUUUCGUUAUAUAACUUGGCUUAUAUAUUCCAAUGAUGGGAUUCCUCAAAAUUGCCCUAGGUCUUGACGAGCAAGCAAGUUGAAUGCACACCCACUAGUUCUUCUUUUGAGCUUUCACAUACUUAUAGCUCUAAGUGCAUCCAUUGCAUGGUAAUCCCUACUCUUUCACAUUGAUAUCUAUUAAUGGGCAUCUCCAUAGCCCUUUGAUACGCCGAGUCGAUGUGACCAUCUCCUCCUUUUUGUCUCACAACCUCCACCACACUCUAUUCCACCAUAGUGCUAUAUCCAUGGCUCAUGCUCAUGUAUUGCAUGAGAGUUGAAAAAGGUUUGAGAACGUAAGAGUGCGAAAACAAUUACUUCGCCAAUACCGGGGUUGUGCAUGAUUUAAAUUAGUUGUGUGGGGAUGAUGGAGCAUAGCCAGACUAUAUGAUUUUGUAGGGAUAACUUUCUUUGGCCUUGUUAUUUCGAAUGUUUAUGAUUACCUUGCUAGUUUUCUUGAAGUAUUAUUGUUUUCAUGUCAAUAGCAAGCUAUUAUUUGAAUCUUACGGAUCUGAACAUUCAUGUCACAUGAAAUAAGUUACAAAGGACAAAGAUGCUAGGUAGCAUUCCACAUCAAAAAUUCAGUCUUUAUCACUUCCCUACUCGAGGACGAGCUGGAGUUAAGCUUGGGGAUGCUUGAUACGUCUCCAACGUAUCUAUAAUUUUUGAUGGUUACAUGCUAUUAUCUUGUCAAACUUUGGAUGUUUUGUAUGCCUUUUAUAUCUUUUUUGGGACUAACUUAUUAACUCAGUGCCAAGUGCCAGUUCCUAUUUUUUUCGUGUUUUUGACCCUUUUCAGAGGAGAAUAUUAAACGGAAUCCAAAAGGAAUAAAACUUCCGAAAAGGUUUUUUCCGGAACAGAAAAUACGCAGGGGGCGUGAGAACCAAGGUAGAGGCCACCAGGGGAGGCCACAAGGCCCCUAGGCGCGGCCAGGGGGGCCUGACUCUGUGACAACAGACCUUCCCCUGCAACGGCACCAGAAGAAUGCUGCUAGCACUCCCCGGCAAUCGAAACUAGAAGAAUAUUGUUGACGGCCCACCAGCGCGUGGGAUCGAGGCAGUUUUCGAGGGUAGAGUAUUCGAACAAAAUUUGUUGAUACGCCAGUAGGAGGUGAGACGAUACUCUCAAGUAUUAGCAGUUGAAUGUGUCAGAUUCAACCAGACGUGAAAGAUUAGUAUCUGCAAGCAAAGUAUCAUCAGCAAAGUAGUAUGAUAACAACGGUGUCAGAAACGAUCUGUUGACGGCAGACUAUUCCUAACGAUUGUAUCAAUGGUGCCAGAAGUUGCCCGUUGACGGAAAUUGUCUGUUCCCGUCAACGCCGAGCGAACAAAAAUUGUAACAGGUAGCAGCAGUGAAACGAGUAACAGCAGUGGCAAGGAACAGCAGUAGUGACAGCAGUAGCAAGUAGCAACAGUAGCAAGUAGCAGCAGAGCAAGCGACAGUAGUAACAGCAGCAGUGGGACAAACUUGUAGGCAAUGGGUCCGUGAUUCGUUCGGAUGAUAUUCAUCAUGCAACAGUUAUAAGACGGAGAGAUAUGUGGCUAGCUCCCGUUCGUCAAUGUGAUGUAGGCAUGCAUUCCGUGUGUAGUCAUACGUGCUUAGGGAAAAGAACUUGCAUGACAUCUAUUGUCCAUCCCUCCCGUGGCAGCGGGGUCCAAAAGGAUACUACAGGAUGUUAAGGUUCUCCUUUUAAUAAAGAACCGGAACAACGCAUUAGCACUUGGUGAACACAUGAACUCCUCAAAGUAUGGUUAUCAUCAGGAGUGGUUCCGGUUANGCCGCAAGCUUCUGUCUCCGCAAGAUCCCAUCUGGGGCACAUUCUGGUGCCCUGUCGGAGGGGGGAUUCGGAUACGGAGGGCUUCUUCAUCAACACCAUUGACUCUCCGAUGAUGCGUGAGUAGUUCACCAUAAACCUUCGGGUCCAUAGCUAGUAGCUAGAUGGCUUCUUCUCUCUCUUGGAUCUUCAAUACAAAGUUCUCCAUGAUCUUCAUGGAGAUCUAUCCGAUGUAAUCUUCUUUUGCGGUGUGUUUUUCGAGAUCCGAUGAAUUGUGGAUUUAUGAUCAGAUUAUCUAUGAAUCUUAUUUGAGUUUCUUCUGAUCUCUUAUAUGCAUGAUUUCAUAUCCUUGUAAUUCUGUUCGAGUUGUGGGUUUUGUUUGGCGAACUUGAUCUAUGAUUGUUGCAAUGGGAUAAGUGCUUUGUUUUGGGUUCAUACCGUGCGGUGACCUCACCCAGUGACAAAAGGGGUAGCGAGGCACACAUCAUGUUGUUGGCAUCAAGGGUAAAAAGAUGGGGUUUAUACCUAUUGCAUGAACUUAUCCCUCUACAUCAUGUCAUCUUGCUUAAAGCGUUACUCUGUUUGUCAUGAACUCAAUACACUAGAUGCAUGCUGGAUAGCGGUCGAUGUGUGGAGUAAUAGUAGUAGAUGCAGAAAGAAUCGGUCUUCUUGUCUCGGACGUGAUGCCUAUAUGUAUGAUCAUUGCCUUAGAUAUAAUUUGCCCUUCCGACCCGCUGCAUGCCACCCUUGUCGAGCUGACUACUCCCAUCGCCCCAACGGCUAAUACAACGCUGACUAGGGCUGAGGUGGAAGAGGCUCGCAAACAACUACUAGUGGAGGGCACCGCCCUUGCCACCUCCAAGCGCUGGAUGAAGGCGGCACGGCGUGAGUACAACUCCGCUUAUGGCUUCACCCCAGCCGCUGACGGACCCAGCCGGCUCGGCGACCUCCGCUGUCGCGGUCGGGUUGUUGCCGAAAUCCUAGGCGGCCAGCUACCCAUCUAUGACACUCCUGCGGCAAACAUGCGGGCCGCCCAGGCGGCCCAUGAAGAGAUGGAUGCCCUGCAGGGCGAGGAGCGGGUGCGUUAAGAAAAGUGCGUCAAGGACCUCCUCACUGCCGCCAAGGAGCAACAGGAUCGCCUCGAUCCUGCCCGUGCUUUCUCCGUAUCUCCGGCCUUCGACAUCGAAGGUUAUGAUGUCCCCAACGACCGUCAGCAAGCUCAGCAUUCUUCCUCCCAUCGUAAAUCCGACCAGAAGGCCGAGGGAAGCCGUGAGUAGCAUUCCCAACGCCGGAGAGAGCAUCACGCAGUAUCUAGCCGGCUCGGCGAGCCGGCUGGAACUAGAGGAGGCUCAGUUCAUGAAGUUCCCCCGCCUGAGCGGUGGGAGAAGGCCAGCACACCCGUGCCCGCAAUCCGGCCUGAGCUCGCGGCUUGGAUCGGCCCUCGCGUCCUUCGCAGCAAGAGCGAUGCUCGCACACGCAUCGACCUUCUGGCGCAGUCGGCCCUCCUGGAGGAGGAGGGUCCCAUUGGUCCGACGUGCUUCGGUCCUCGGAUCCGAGGGGAGGCGUUCCCGUCCGGCUUCACCGUCCCCCGCGAUACUACGAAAUACAACGGCUCUGGCAAGCCGAAAGACUGGCUGAUCGACUACAUCACUGCAGUCGGCAUUUCUCGGGGCAACAAGCGUGUUGCCGUCUGCUACGUGACACUCAUGCUGACCGGCUCGACAAGAACUUGGCUUAACAGUCUGCCAGCUGGCAACAUCAACUCUUGGGUUGACUUUGAAGAUGCUUUCGUCCGCAACUUCACUCGCACCUACAAGCGCCCUGGCCACGCCCGUGAGCUGGCCAUGUGCGUUCAGAAGCCCGACAAACCCCUCUGUGACUACAUCAUGCACUCGACGGAGUUGCACAACUCCUGCGAAGGAGUGCAUGAAGUACAAGCCAUUCAAUACUUCACUAAAGACUGUCGAGACGACACCCUUCUCAAGCACAAACUCAUGUGCUGCGAACCUACCUCUUUGGCAGCACUCAUGGACAAGGCGGAUAAAUACACUACUGCCAACUCUGCCAUGAGGAUCAAGGUCAGCGCGACGGACAAACCCGACCAACCGCCGGCUACAACUAAGCCGGUGGCGACAACUGAGGCGGGCAAAACAACAAGCGCAAGGCGGAUCAGCAAGACCCGUGAGCUUGAAGCAAGCAGGUGGCAAACAUGGAGGAAGAGCAGCCGGCUGCGCAAGACGACGCUCAGCAACAACGAACCGGCAAGAACACCUGACAGCCCAAGCUCACAUUCGAGUAGAUGCUCGACGCGCCUUGCAAGAUGCAUUCCGGGGCAAAGCCAGCCACCCACACACUCCGGUAGUGCAGCUUCUCACAGCGCCUGGCCCGCUGGCGGCUCCCCCGGGGGUGGCUCCUCGAGGUCCGACUCCCGGGCCGGGUCCGGCUCCAGCUCAACCGCCCCCAAUGACGGCCGUCUUCAUGACCAAUUCCCCAAGAAGGACGGGCCUACAUCGUCUUUACCAGCGAGGGCGAUGACAAGCAUAGUGAGCGUCAGCGCCGACAUGAGGUGAAUGCAACGGUCCUCUCGGUUCCCCAAUACACGCAUUGGUCUAAAAAGCAAAUUACAUGGAGCCAGGCGGACCAUCCCGCGGUGAUGCCGAAUCCUGGCACAUACGCGCUCGUCCUCGUCCCCACCAUCGCCUCCAAGAGACUCACAUGUACGUUCUCGCAGGUGCUCGUCGACGGCGGUAGCAUCAUGAACAUCCUCUACCGUGACACCAUGCUCGAGCUCGGGCUGAAGGAGAAGGACCUACAACCGACCAGGACUGUCUUCCACGACAUUGUGUCGGGGCAGUCUUGCUCGCCUAUCGGCAAAAUCCAGGUGGACUUCCUCUUUCGCGACAAGUCGCACUUCCACCGCGAGCCGGUCUGGUUCAAGGAGGUGGACCUCAACAACCCGUACCAUGCGCUGCUAGGAAGGCCGGCGCUGGCCAAGUUCAUGGCUAUCCCCCAUUACACCUACCUCAAGAUGAAGAUGUCGGGUCCCAAGGGCAUUAUCACUGUUGCCGGCAACUCCAAGAAGUCAAUCGAGUGUGGGUGCAACAGCAGCCGGCUGGCCGAGGCACUGGUGAUUGCACAGGAGAAGAGGCAGCUCAACCGGCUCAUGGCUGAGGCUACCGAGCAGCCGCCCGUGCCAACUCCUCCGUCCCAAUCAGACGGCGAGGCCUCAUUCGAGCCGUCCAAGGGAACCGGGCAAGUGCCACUCGACCCAGCCAACCCCAAGUAGUGCGUGACCAUCGGCGCCAACCUUAGCCCCAAAUAGGAAGGUGAGCUCGUCGACUUCCUCAGUGAGAAUCGAGAUAUCUUUGCAUGGUCCCCCAAGGACAUGUCGGGAGUUCCAAGGAACUACGCCGAGCACAAGCUUCAUGUGCAACCUAAUGCAAAGCCGGUCAAACAACCUUUGUGCCGCUUUGCUGAGGGGAAGCGACACACAAUCGGAGAAGAGAUCGCUUGGCUACUUGCAACCGGCUUCAUCAUGGAAGUUUCCCACCCGGACUGACUGGCCAACCCAGUCCUGGUGCAGAAGAAAAACAAAACAUGGUGCAUGUGUAUCGACUACACAAGCCUGAAUAUGGCAUGUCUGAAGGAUCCCGUCGCCCUGCCACGGAUAGAUCAAGUGACUGACUCCACGGUCGGCUACGAUUUGUUGUCCUUUGUGGACGCUUAUUCCGGCUACCACCAGAUCAAGCUGGACCCGGCCGACCGGCUCAAGACCUCCUUCAUCACACCUUCUGGAGCCUACUGCUACACGAUGAUGACAUUUGGCCUAAAGACUAUAGGCGCCACCUUCCAGCGUUGCAUGCAAUAAUGCCUCCUGCCGCAAAUCGGCAGGAACAUACACGUCUGCAUCGACGAAAUCGUCGUCAAGACCAAGAAGUAUUUCAGUCUCCUUGACGAUUUGUCGGAGACCUUUGCCAACUUGCACGAGUACAAGAUCCAUGUCAAUCCAGAGAAGUGCGUAUUCGGAGUACCAACCGACAAGCUCCUGGGUUUCUUCGUGUCGGCUCGCGGCAUCGAAGCUAACCCCGAGAAGACCAGAACAAUCGAGUGCAUGGCCAAGCCGGCUCAACUCCUCGACGUCUAGAAGUUUGCCGGCUGCCUAGCAUCCCUCAGCCGGUUUGUUAGACGGCUGGGUGAGAAGGCACUACCACUCUAUCAGCUGAUGAAGAAGACAACCAAAUUCGAGUGGAAUGAUCAAGCGGACGAAGCAUUCCGCGACCUCAAGUGCGUGAUCUCCAGCACGCAAAUCUUGGCCACGCCGGCGGAGAGGGAACCCAUCCUCAUCUAAAAUGCGACAACCAUGCGCGUGGUCAGUGUCGUCUUGGUGGUGGAGCGAAAGGAGGAGGGCAAUGUGCUGCUGGUCAGCGCCCUGUCUACCAUCUAAGCGAAGUCUUGUCCGCCUCCAAGCAAAACUACCCCAUUUUCAAAAGAUGUGCUAUGGCGUGUAUUUUGCCACCAAGAAGCUGAAGCAAUACUUCCAGGAGCAUGCCAUCACGGUGGUGAGCACAACUCCACUUUCAGAAAUCAUGGGCAACUGUGAUGCUAUGGGCCAGAUUGCCAAGUGGUCCAUCUCCAUGGCCGACCAUGACAUCCGCUAUGAGCUGUGCACCGCCAUCAAGUCUCAAGUGGUGGCCGACUUCCUCGUCGAUUGGGCCGAGACCCAGUUCCUACCACCGCCUCCUGACUCCACACAUUGGCGGAUACAUUUCGACGACUCCAAGAUGCGAACCGGCCUGGGAGCCGGCAUUGUCCUGACGUCCCCGAAAGGGGCCAACUCAAAUAUGCUCUGUAGAUACACUUCGCCUCCUCCAACAACGUCACCGAGUACGAGGCACUUGCACACGCCCUCUGACUUGCUAGAGAGAUCGUCAUCCAGCGGAUUCUUUGCUUCAGCGACUCUGACCUCGUGGUGCAGCAAGUCUUUCGCGAGUGGGAUGCCAGGGACGCCAACAUGGCCAGCUACCGCUUCCCCAUCCAGCAGCUUAGUGGCCCUUUCGAGGGCUGCGAGUUCCAUCAUGUCCCCCGAGCAGACAAUGAGGCAGCAGAUACAUUGGCACAAAUGGGCUCCACAAGGCAAGCAAUCCCGACCGGCGUCUCCCUCGAACAGCUGCACAAGCCUUCCAUCAAGCCGUCUCGAGCGUCGUCAUCGAUCUUCGUGCCUGCAGACCCGUCCGUCCCAAUGACUUUAGGUACGAAGACGCUUCAUCAACUCCGCCGGCUCGGCCCGUUCUGCCAGCUCCGUCAGCUUUGCUGGCUCCGGUUACCUUGCCGACACCAACUACUCUGCCGGCUAUGCCAAACCUCGAACCCAGUCGGCUCAACACCCAGUGGGUGGCCGUCAUGGAGGUUGAUGGCAUGCCGGCUUCCACGACGACACCAGAGACAGAAGGUCUCGAACCCAGGACCACAAUGACAAACUCGGGGGCCUCAGCGGCCCCUGGCCUUCAGGCCGAGCCAGAAUCGGCUCGUGUGUCAGCUCCCACAUGGGCACACCCCAUCCUGUCUUUCCUCCUUUGCGGUGAGCUCCCUUAAGACAAGGUGGAAGCACGGCAAAUCCAGUGCCGAUCUCUCACUUACGCCAUCAUCAACCGUGAACUGGUUCGACACAGUGUAACAGGCGUACUUCAACGCUGCGUCGAAUCAGAGAAAUGAAAAUAAAUUCUCAAGGACAUACAUCAGGGUGAGUGCGGGCAUCACGCCGCCUCCAGAACCCUGGUGGCCAAGGCGUUCCGCCAUGGAUUCUAUUGGCUCACGACCCUGGAAGAGGCCACCACUCUGGUCGACAAGUGUGAAGGAUGCCAGUGCUUCAACACGCAAAGCCACUUGCCGGCCUCAGCUCUAAAGACCAUUCCCCUCUCAUGUCCCUUUGUCGUCUGGCGUUGGACAUGGUAGGCCCAUUCAAGACCGCUCGAGGCCGCAUGCCGCAUCUCCUGGUAGCCGUUGACAAGUUCACCAAGUGGAUUGAGGCCAGGCCAAUAAAGAAGCUUGACGGUCCCACGACCGUCAGGUUCAUCAAGGACAUCACCGUCCGCUAAGGUGUCCCCCACAGCAUCAUCACCGAUAAUGGCACCAACCUCGCCAAAGGUGCAAUGGCGCUCUUCUAUGCCAAGGAGGGCAUUCGGUUCGACCUUUCGUCGGUUGCCCACCCGCAGUCUAACGGCCAUGGGAAGGGCAAACAACCUGAUCUUGGCCGGCAUCAAGCCAAGACUCGUGGCACCGAUCGUCAGGUCAGCCGUCUGCUGGAUCAAAGAGUUGACGGCUGUGCUGUGGAGCCUCCACACCACACCGAACCGGUCAACUGAUUUCACGCCAUUCUUCCUCGUCUACGGGUCCGAGGCAAUCAUCCCCGCGGAUGUCGAGUUCGACUUGCCUCGCGUCACCCUGUACACGGAGGCAGAUGCAAAAGAGGAAAGAGAAGACGGUGUCAAUCUACUCGAGGAGGCACGGGAGCUGGCCCUGAGCUGGACGGCCAUCUACCAGCAGAAGAUGAGACACUACCACAUCAAAAAGAUCAGGCCUCUCUCUUCCCAUGAGGCGGACCUAGUACUUAGAAGAAUCUAGCAAACAGCCGGCCAACACAAGCUCUCUUCCCCAUGGGAGGGACCCUUGAUCAUCAGCAAGGUGCUGCACAACAAUGCGUACUAUCUAAUAGAUGCUCAGAAGCCGCAGAAGCGCAAAAGAGACGCCUCCGGCGAGGAAACGGAGCAUCCAUAGAACGCGGCACUGCUUCGCCCGUUCUAUUGCUAGAACAAGAGAGAAAAUGUGUACGUAUGUAUCCUUUACCCUUUUGGGGUCUCAACGAAUGCAAUGGGUGUCUCAAGAUAGCACUUGGGGCAUACCUAUUUGAUUUCAUAAAAAGAGUUGUCAUUAGAAGAGUGGGCUUCCCGAUCUGACUCCUCGGGCUCGGGGGCUCGCUAGCCGGCCCAAGCCAACUUCCUAGUCGUAGUUGAACAUAUAGUGCAUGUCGAGCCGAAACCCUUACCACCUUGUGCAAGCUAGAGACCGGCUCCGGACUGUCCGGCUAACAUGAUUGUGGAAUGGAAGGCUGGUUGCACGUAAAAUUUGACUACAAAGAGGUUGUCGGCUCAGGUUGGUCUGAUCGCUUCCGAUCUUCAUUUCUAGCUAGCCUGUGCUAACUCGCUCCAAGUCUAAGUAUCUCCGCGACUUCAAGAAAUUCGAGGAUGGCGCCUUCGUAGGCAGAAGCCCCAUCCUAGUCACAAACCGGCUCCCUGCUGUCGGAUUGGCGGGGUGGAUGCUGGAGGAGGCAAGCUGUUGGAUAGACGGAAGCCAAAGGGGAACGUAAGAUAAAAAAGCGAGUCGGCAAGCACAACCUUCGCAGGCACAAUUCAAGCAAACAAGCAUAUAUUAUAUCAAAAGACAUGUAAAGGCCGACGACCAAAGUUCAUUACAUUACACCCCAAGUGCGUGGAACUGUUGGAUUAACAAAAAAUGCAGAAAAGUAGAAAAAACUUUAUUUGGUGGUGGCUCCACCCUUGGCUCCGACAUCGCCGGCAGCACCGGAGGUCGAGGAGGCUCCACCCAUGGCUCCGACAUUGUUAGCAGCACCUGAGGUCGACGCGGCUCCACCCUUGGCAUUGGCAUCACCAGCGGCACCUGACGUGGAGGCGCCGUCGUCUGCUCGGGUGCCUUUGGCACUGCCCUUUGUGGCGGAGUCAACAUAGGCCUCGCCGCUCAAGUCGGCAUCCUCGAAUGCCGUCUCAUCGGAGCUGCCAUCAGGGUCGGCAAGCUAGCCCAUAAUGACCCUCCGGGAUCAGGCUUCUGUCAGCACUCCGCUCCAGGGAAUACUCAUUCCAUGGGCAAAGGAGGCAAUGCCGCUCGGCCGCACCUGCAGCUCGUCUUCGACGGCGGCUGACACGUGUCCAACGUAUCUAUAAUUUUUGAUGGUUACAUGCUAUUAUCUUGUCAAACUUUGGAUGUUUUGCAUGCCUUUUAUAACUUUUGGGACUAACUUAUUAAUUCAGUGCCAAGUGCCAGUUCCUGUUUUUUCCGUGUUUUUGACCCUUUUCAGAGAAGGAUUUUAAACGGUGUCCAAACGGAAUAAAAUUUUCGAAAAGAUUUUUUCCGGAACAGAAGAUACGCACGGGAUGUGAGAACCAAGGCAGAAGCCACCACGGGAUGCCACAAGCCCCCUAGGCGCGGCCGGGGGGGCCUAGCAGGCUUGUGGGCCCCCUGUGACUCGUCUGCACUACCUCUUCUGCCUAUAAAUUCCUGAAAAAUCCAAAACUGCGGGAGAGAUCCACGAAAAUACUUUUCCGCUGCCGCAAGCUUCUGUCUCCGCAAGAUCCCAUCUGGGGCACGUUCUGGUGCCCUGCCGGAGGGGGGAUUGGAUACGGAGGGCUUCUUCAUCAACACCAUGACCUCUCCGAUGAUGCAUGGGUAGUUUACCAUAGACCUUCGGGUCCAUAGCUAGUAGCUAGAUGCCUUCUUCUCUCUCUUGGAUCUUCAAUACAAAGUUCUCCAUGAUCUUCAUGGAUAUCUAUCCGAUGUAAUCUUCUUUUGCGGUGUAUUUGUCGAGAUCCGAUGAAUUGUGGAUUUAUGAUCAGAUUAUCUAUGAAUCUUAUUUAAAUUUCUUCUGAUCUUUUAUAUGCAUGAUUUCAUAUCCUUGUAAUUCUCUUCGAGUUGUGGGUUUUCUUUGGCCAACUUGAUCUAUGAUUCUUGCAAUGGGAGAAGUGCUUGGUUUUGGGUUCAUACCGUGCGGUGACCUCACCCAGUGACAGAAGGGGUAGUGAGGCACGCAUCAUGUUGUUGCCAUCAAGGGUAAAAAGAUGGGGUUUACAUCAUUGGUUUGAGUUUAUCCCUCUACAUCAUGUCAUCUUGCUUAAGGCGUUACUCUGUUCGUCAUGAACUCAAUACACUAGAUGCAUGCUUGAUAGCAGGGGAUGUGUGGAGUAAUAGUAGUAGAUGCAGACAGUAUCGGUCUACUUGUCUUGGACGUGAUGCCUAUAUGUAUAAUCAUUGCCUUAGAUAUCGUCAUGACUUUGCGCGGUUCUAUCAAUUGCUCGACAGUAAUUUGUUCACCCACCGUAAUAUUUGCUACUUUGGGAGAAGCCUCUAGUGAACACUAUGGCCCCCGGGUCUACUUCACAUCAUAUUUUCAGCCUUUAACUUUUACUUCGUUGUACUUUCCACCUUCAGAUCUCACUUUGCAAUCAAUCUUGAAGGGAUUGACAACCCCUUUAUAGCGUUGGGUGCAAGCUCGUUUGUAUUUGCGCAGGUACUCUGUACACUUGGAUUGAUUCUCCUACUGGAUUGAUACCUUGGUUCUCAAACUGAGGGAAAUACUUACUUCUCCUGUGCUGCAUCACCCUUUCCUCUUCAAGGGAAAACCAACGCAAGCUCAAGAGGCAACAGAAGGAUUUCUGGCGCCGUUGCCGGGGACUUCUGGCCCCGUAGCAGAAGGAUUUCUCGCGCCGUUGCCGGGGAGGAUCAAGUUCUAGGUGAAGCUUAUCCAAGUAAGUGUCGAAAACUCAUCUCUUGCAUUUACUUUUUUGCCUUUCGUUUUCCUCUCCCCCAGUUUUGAAAAACAAAAAAUUACAAAAAUAUUUGCCUUCUUCGUUUGCCUUUUUCGUUCGCCCUUUUAUCUCGCUUGCUUUCUGUUCGCUUGUGUGCUUGUUUGCUUGUCGAAGUCACCAUGACUAAAAACACCAAACUCUAUGACUUCUCGAAUACUAAUAAUAAUGAUUUUAUUAGUACUCCGAUUGCUCCCGCCACUAGUGCGGAAUCAUACGAAAUCAAUGUUGCCUUGCUGAAUCUUGUUAUGAAAGAGCAAUUCUCCGACCUUCCUAGUGAAGAUGCCGCAUCCCAUCUUAAUAUCUUCAUUGAGCUUUGCGAUAUGCAGAAUAAGAAAGAUGUGGAUAAUGAUGUGAUUAAAUUGAAGCUUUUUCCUUUCUCGUUGCGAGAUCGAGCAAAAACUUGGUUUUCAUCUUUGCCCAAAAAUAGUAUUGAUUCUUGGAACAAGUGCAAAGAUGAUUAUAUAUCCAAGUAUUUUCCGUCGGCUAAGAUUAUCUCUCUCCGUAAUGAUAUCUUGAAUUUUAAGCAACUUGAUCAUGAACAUGUUCCACAAUCUUGGGAGAGAAUGAAAUUGAUGAUUAGAAAAUGUCCCGCUCAUGGCUUGAGUCUUUGGAUGAUUAUACAAAUCUUCUACGCUGGUUUGAAUUUCGCUUCUAGAAAUAUCUUGGACUCCGCCUCAGGUGGAACAUUCAAGGAAAUCACAUUAGGAGAAGCCACGAAACUCCUAGACAAUAUCAUGAUAAACUACUCUCAGUGGCACACUGAAAGGUCACCUACUAGUAAAAAAGUACACGCUAUAGAAGAAAUUAACUCGUUGAGUGCUAAGAUGGAUGAUUUAAUGAAUUUUGUUGCUAGUAGAAGUGCUCCUUUAGAUCCUAAUGAUAUGCCCUUGUAUUCCUUGAUUGAGAGUAGCAAUGCGAGCUUGGACGUUAAUUUUGUUGGUAGGAAUAAUUUUGGCAACAACAAUGCUUUUAGAGGAAACUAUGUUCCUACGCCUUUUCCUAGGAACCCCUCUAAUAACUUUGGCAACUCCUACAACAAUACUCAUGGAAAUUACGAUAAAUUACCCUCUGAUCUAGAUAGUAAUAUCAAAAAGUUUAUCAACUCGCAAAAGAUUUUCAAUGCGUCCAUAGAGGAAAAACUACUCAAAAUUGACGAUUUGGCUAGGAGCGUUGAUAGAAUGUCUAGUGAUACUGAUGCUUUGAAAGUUAGAUGUGCUCCUCCCAAGAUCAACAUGGAUGAAACUUUGAAACCCAUGCGUGUUUCCAUGAGUGAGAGCAAAGAAAGAACCGCCCAAAUUCGUGCUAGACAUGAAUGGCUUAAAAAGGCGUGUUCUCGUGAUAAGAAUCACGAAGAUCUUAAAGUGCUUGGUGUGACUCCCAUUGAAUCUUUGUUCUCUCGUGUCAAACCUAAUGAUGAUGGGGCUGGAUAUGAAUCUACUUUGGUUGAAAAACGCCUCAAUGAUUCGGAGUCCAUCUAUCUUGAUGCUAAAAGCAUUGAAAGUGGAGUAGAAGAAAUCAAAACUUUGAGUAGUAAUGAAAGUACUACUUUGGAUUUCAAGGAAUUCAAUUAUGAUAGUUUCUCCUUGAUUGAAUGCAUUUCCUUGAUGCAAUCCAUGCUAAACUCUCCACACGCUUAUAGCCAAAACAAGGCCUUUACCGAUCAUAUCGUUGAAGCUAUGAUAAAAUCUCUUGAAGAGAAACUUGAGUUGGAAGUUUCUAUUCCUAGAAAGCUUCAUGAUGAGUGGGAACCUACUAUCAAAAUCAAAAUCAAAAACUAUGAAUGCAAUGCUUUGUGUGAUUUGGGUGCUAGUGUUUCCGCGAUUCCAAAGUCUUUAUGUUAUGUUCUAGGCUUUAAUGAGAUUGAGGAGUGUUCUCUUAAUUUGCAUCUUACGGAUUCUACUGUCAAGAAACCCAUGGGAAGGAUCAAUGAUGUUCUUAUUAUUGCAAAUAGGAACUAUGUACCCAUGCAUUUCAUUGUGCUUGAUAUUGAUUGCAAUCCUACAUGUCCUAUCAUUCUUGGUAGACCUUUCCUAAGGACUAUUGGUGCUAUCAUCGAUAUGAAGGAAGGGAAUAUUUGAUUUCAAUUUCCUUUAAAUAAGGGCAUGGAGCAUUUUCCUAGAAAGAAAAUAAGAUUGCCUUAUUAAUCAAUGAUGAGGGCUACUUAUGGUUUGAGCACCAAAGACGACGAUACGUGAUUCUAUCGCCUUAUGCCUAGCUAAGGGCGUUAAAAAAUAGCGCUUGUUGGGAGGCAACCAAAUGAAUUUAUUUUUUUCUUUCUGUUUUAUUGCGUCCACACUAUCAUAAUUCUGUUAUGAUAGUUUUUUGUGUUUCUUUUUGUGUUUGAGCCAAGCAAAACCUUUAUGAUUGGUUUGGUGAUGGUUGUUUGAUCCUGCUGGAAAAAGACAGAAACUUUUCGCUCACGAAAUUAUUUUUCGUUUUUAUUCCGAAAGAGAUUUUGAUUUGAUUCCUUUUGCUGCUGGUUUAUAUGCCUUUUUCCCAGGCUGUCGUAAUGUUUCAUAAUUUUUGAGGCACCAGAAGUAUACGAAGUAUAAAGAUUUCUACAGACUGGUCUGUUUUUGACAGAUUUUGUUUUUGUUGUGUUGGUUGCUUGUUUUGAUGAAACUAUGGAUAGUAUCGGGGGUACUAGCCAUGGAAAAGUGAGAAUACAGUAAUCUAACACCAAUAUAAAUAGAAAUCAAGAUUGCUACAGUACCUAAAGUGGUGGUAGUUUGUUUUCUUGUGCUAAUGAUAUCACGAGUUUCUGUUUAAGUUUUGUGUUGUGAAGUUCUCAAGUUUUGGGUGAUGUUCUCAUGGACAAAGGGAUAAAGAGUGGAAAGAGAUCAAGCUUGGGGAUGCCCAAGGCAUCCCAAUCUAAAUUCAAGGACACCAAAAAUCCUAAGCUUGGGUAUGCCCCGGGAAGACAUCCCCUCUUUCGUCUUCAAUCCAUCGGUAACAUUACUUGGAGCUAUAUUUUUAUUCAGCACAUGAUAUGUGUUUUGUUUGGAGCGUCUUGUAUCGUAGGAGUCUUUUCUUUUUGUUGUGUCACAAUCAUCCUUGCUGCACACCUUUUGAGAGAGACAUGCACUCAUCGUGAAUUUGCUAGAAUACUCAUUGUGCUUCACUUAUAUCUUUUGAGCUAGACAAUGUUGCUGUGUGCUUCACUUAGAUCUUUUAGAGCACCGCUGUGCGUAACUUGGUAGUUGGCUUGUGCUAUGAAUGUAGUCCCAAAGGUGAUAGGUAGCCAAAGAGGAGACAAUAACACUUCCAUCUUCAUGUGUGUUGAGUAGAAAGAGAAGUUUGAUUCCUCUCAAUUAGUUUUGAGACGUGGAUUUGGUAAUAUUAAGAGUUAUGUUAGUAGGGUGUUGUGAAUCUAGAAAUACUUGUGUUAAAGUUAGUGAUUCCCGUAACAUGCACAUAUGGUGAACCACUAUGUUAGGAAGUCGGAGCAUAAUUGAUCUAUUGAUUUCCAUUCUUUGUGUUGCCGUCGGGAUCGCGCGAUGGUUAACACCUACUAACCCUUCCUCUAGGAGUAUGCGUUUAGCACUUUGUUUCGAUUACUAAUAAAAACUUUUGCAACAAGUAUGUGAGUUCUUCAUGACUAAUGUGAGUCCAUGGUAUAGAUGCACUUUCACCUUCCACCAUUGCUAGCCUCUCUAGUACCGCGCAGUUUUCGCUGGUGCACAAACCCACCAUAUGCCUUCCUCAAAACAGCCACCAUACCUACCUACUAUGGCAUUUUCAUUGCCAUUCCGAGAUAUAUUGCCAUGCAACUCCCACCGUUCCGUCUCAUGACUUGUGCCGUCACUCUCAUAUUGCCAUUGCAUGAUCAUAAGACAGCUAGCGAGAUGUUUCAACGUCAUACGCCAAGCUAGAUCGUUGAACAUCCCGGUACACUGCCGGAGGCAUUUCCUAUAGAGUCAUCAUCGUUCUAAGCUUUGAGCUGUGAGUAAAUAAAAGUGUGAUGAUCAUCAUUAUUAGAGCAUUGUCCCAUGUGAGGAAAUAAAAAAAUAGAGGCCAAAGUUGCCCACAAAAAAAGAGAUAUGGAAAGAGGCCGAAGAACCCAAACAAAAAAAAGAAAAAGAAAAAAAGAGAGAAAAUUAGAGAAGGGACAAUGCUACUAUCUUUUUCCACACUUGUGCUUCAUAAUAGCACCAUGUUCUUCAUGAUUGAGAGCCUCCUCGUUUUGUCACCACCAUAUACUAGUGGGAAUCUUUAUUAUAUAACUUGGCUUGUAUAUUCCAAUGAUGGGCUUCCUCAAAAUUGCCCUAGGUCUUCGUGAGCAAGCAAGUUGGAUGCACACCCACUAGUUCUCCUUUUGAGCUUUAACAUACUUAUAGCUCUAAGUGCAUCCAUUGCAUGGUAAUCCCUACUCUUUCACAUUGAUAUCUAUUAAUGGGCAUCUCCAUAGCCCUUUGAUACGCCGAGUCGAUGUGACCAUCUCCUCCUUUUUGUCUCACAACCUCCACCACACUCUAUUCCACCAUAGUGCUAUAUCCAUGGCUCAUGCUCAUGUAUUGCAUGAGAGUUGAAAAAGGUUUGAGAACGUAAGAGUGCGAAAACAAUUACUUCGCCAAUACCGGGGUUGUGCAUGAUUUAAAUUAGUUGUGUGGGGAUGAUGGAGCAUAGCCAGACUAUAUGAUUUUGUAGGGAUAACUUUCUUUGGCCUUGUUAUUUCGAAAGUUCAUGAUUACCUUGCUAGUUUACUUGAAGUAUUAUUGUUUUCAUGUCAAUAGCAAAUUAUUGUUUUUAAUCUUAUGUAUAGGAACAUUCAUGUCACAUGAAAGAAGUUACAAAGGACAACUAUGCUAGGUAGCAUUCCACAUCAAAAAUUAAGUCUCUAUCACUUCCCUACUCGAGGACGAGCGGGAGUUAAGCUUGGGAUGCUUGAUACGUCUGUAACGUAUCUAUACUUUUUGAUGGUUCCAUGCUAUUAUCUUGUCAAUCUUUGGAUGUUUUGUAUGCCUUUUAUAUCUUUUUUGGGACUAACUUAUUAACUCAGUGCCAAGUGCCAGUUUCUGUUUUUUUCGUGUUUUUGACCCUUUUCAGAGGAGAAUUUUAAACGGUGUCCAAACGGAAUAAAACUUCUGAUUUUUUUUCCGGAACAGAAGAUACGCACGGGACGUGAGAACCAAGGCAGAAGCCACCAGGGGACGCCACAAGCCCCCUAGGCGCGGCCAGGGGGGCCCGCGCCUAGCAGGCUUGUGGGCCCCGUGUGGCUCGUCCGCCCUACCUCUUCCGCCUAUAAAUUCCUGAAAAAUCCAAAACCGCGGGAGAGAUCCUUGAAAAUACUUUUCCGCCGCCACAAACUUCUGUCUCCGCAAGAUCCCAUCUAGGGAACGUUCUGGUGCCCUGCCGGAGGGGGGAUUCGGAUACGGAGGGCUUCUUAAUCAACACCAUGACCUCUCCGAUGAUGCAUGAGUAGUUUACCAUAGACCUUCGGGUCCAUAGCUAGUAGCUAGAUGGCUUAUUCUCUCUCUUGGAUCUUCAAUACAAAGUUCUCCAUGAUCUUCAUGGAGAUCUAUCCGAUGUAAUCUUAUUUUGUUGUGUGUUUGUCGAGAUCCGAUGAAUUGUGGAUUUAUGAUCAGUUUAUCUAUGAAUCUUAUUUGAGUUUCUUCUCAUCUCUUAUAUGCAUGAUUUCAUAUCCUUGUAAUUCUCUUCGAGUGAUGGGUUUUGUUUGGCCAACUUGAGCUAUGAUUCUUGCAAUGGGAUAAGUGCUUGGUUUUGGGUCCAUACCGUGCGGUGACCUCACCCAGUGACAGAAGGAGUAGCGAGGAACGCAUCGUGUUGUUGCCAUCAAGGGUAAUAAGAUGGGGUUUACAUCAUUGGUUUGAGUUUAUCCCUCUACAUCAUGUUAUCUUGCUUAAGGUGUUACUCUGUUUGUCAUGAACUCAAUACAAUAGAUGCAUGCUGGAUAGCGGUCGAUGUGUGGAGUAAUAGUAGUAGAUGCAGACAGUAUCGGUCUACUUGUCUCGGACGUGAUGCCUAUAUGUAUGAUCAUUGUCUUAGAUAUCGUCAUGACUUUGCGCGGUUCUAUCAAUUGCUCGACAGUAAUUUGUUCACCCACCGUAAUAUUUGCUACUUUGAGAGAAGCCUCUAGUGAACACUAUGGCCCCCGGGUCUACUUCACAUCAUAUUUUCAGCCUUUCACUUUUACUUCGUUGCACUUUCCGCCUUCAGUUCUCACUUUGCAAUCAAUCUUGAAGGGAUUGAUAACCCCUUUAUAGCGUUGGGUGCAAGCUCGUUUGUGUUUGCGCAGGUACUCUGGACACUUGGCUUGAUUAUCCUACUGGAUUGAUACCUUGGUUCUCAAACCGAGGGAAAUACUUACUGCUCGUGUGCUGUAUCACCCUUUCCUCUUCAAGGGGAAACCAAUGCAAGCUCAAGAUGCAGCAGAAGGAUUUCUGGCGCCGUUGCCGGGGACUUAUGGCGCCGUAGCAGCGGCCAACUCCAGUUCCAUGCUGGCGCGCUGCGCCGCGAGCAUGCCCAAGUUUAGGUUGCGAUACCAGGACUUGGCAAGGCGAAGCACCAUAUAUGCCCCAGCUUGUGCAGCUGACGCACACGAGGCGUCCAGCUGGGAAGUUCCUACCUCGAGCCAUCAGGACAGCCGGCUCAUUGACGCUGGCUCCACCGUGUCCGGCCAAAGGGCAUUCACCAUCGCCAACCCGGACUCCUGGAGCGAGGUCAGGGACUGCAACAGCUCCCACAUAUGGGCCCUGGCGGCAAGGGCCACCUCCUCCGCGGUCUAGCCGGCACUAAUAUUCACCAUGGCGCCGGCGGCACGUCGUUCUUUGCGAUGAGCCUCUACAGCCGUGUCCACCGCAUCUCAAUUCCCUAGAAAGAGAUGGUGGGGGGCAAUGGCGGGGUCAUGGCGUAAAGAAGGAGAAAAAAGAAUUCAACAAUAAAAAGACAAGAUGAGGCAGGGACGACUCACGGUUGAGAAGGAUGUCGACUUCGCCCGCCUCCUCCUCAACCUCGCGGUCCUGGACCGCACACUCCUAAGCCUGGCGAGCGAGCUUGUUCCCCAGGGCCUGUGUCGCCUUAACUUCCUUCGCCAGUUGAGCUUUCAUGUCCUUCAUGGCGGCGUCCUGCUGCGCCUUUUCGUCAAGGCGCAGCUUCUCCAAACGUUCAAGCUCGAUGGCUUGGGAGGCAUCCUUCCGCAACAUGUUGUCGUUGUGUCCGACGCGCAGCCGCUCCAGCUCCGUUUGAUGGGCCGCCUCGUGGUCCUUCUUCUCCAUCUGGAGAAGCUCUACUUCCUGACGUAGCCGGCCGCCCUCACCGCGCAAGGCGUCGCGCUCCGUGACGGCUCGGUCGAGCCGGCCUUGAAGGUCGCCUGUUUGUUCUAUGUAAUGAUCAUUGGCAUGAAUAAACAUUGCAUAACUAUGCGCUUUUAUACCAAUUUACCAACAAUAAUUUGUUUACCACCGUAUGCUUUUCUACCAAUUUAACAACAGUAAUAUGUUCACCCACCGUAUGUUUCCUACGGGAGACAAGCCUCUAGCGAAAACUAUCGCCCCGGGGUCUAUUCACAAAUAUAUUUACAAAAAUACUAAAUACUUCUUUGAAUUUUAUUAUUUGUAUUUAUUUUUUAUAUUUAAUAUAUUUUAGCUAUCUAUAUAUCACUACUUACCGUUUGCAAGUAACUAGUUCAAGGCGAUUGACAACCCUCUUGCUCGCGUUGGGUGCAAUUGUUUGCUAUUUUGUGUGUAGGCGCUGAACACAGGAAAAUGUGUCGUUCUUCUAUUGGUUUAAUAACCUUGGUUCUCACUGAGGAAAUACUUAUCUAUUCUCUGCUUCAUCAACUCCUCUUUGGGGAUAAAUCCAACGCAGAUCACAAUUAUCACGCGUGCGUUCCCACCCAACAUCGGCGGCCCACAUUCAUACCGAUGUAGAGCGGUCGCUCCGCAUUGAAGCCAUCCCGGAGCGGAUGUGGCAUCUCACUAGCACCGACGUUGAAGCGGUGCAUCGACCGACAGUGCCGCCCAUUGCACACCCGUGUGAGCAUGCCUCUUCGCUGCACUCAAACGCCUCUAUUAAACCCGCAUGUGUGCCAAGAAACCUAUUAUAGUAACAUGUCCAUUUGCGAGAUAGUCGGCCUUAAACACAACACCGGGAAAGCUCCCUGCGCCCGCCUGCUAUAUAAAGGAGGCCAGACGCUGGUAAAGGAUCGCACCACUCCUCCACUCCACAUCUCCCCCUUCCACCAUUUUCCCCCCCUUUCCAUGGCAUCCGACGAGUAGGAAGAGCAGUUGUCCAGUAUAAAAGUUGGUUGGGUGGCUCGCUGAGCCCUCUAGAUACGAACUAGGCAACUUGCUGCUCCUCCUCCCUCGCCGAGCUCGACAAAGAAAGUGGCCGCACCAAGCCGGCGCCUAGUUCAACAACUCUCUAUUCCAAGCCAGCUCACAGAGGAGUAGAGAGUUGCUCCAGACCGGCAUGGUGGAACUGACAUCAUGGCUGCCAUGGACGAGGCCAGGCGCCAAGCCAUCCAGCGUCGACUUUCGCGGAACCGCGUCGUGCUUGUGGACAAAGAAACUAGCUUGGAGAUUGACAAGGCUGCGGGGUUCGUGGGAGUUACCCGCAACUCUCAUACCAGUCGUGCAUGGCAAAAUUUUAGUCAUCGACUUGACUCAUUCCCGUAACCCACGGUGCCGCGCGGCGCAACGCGGCGCGGCGUGGCGAGGAGAGGCGGGCGACGGAGGAGCGCGCGUGUAUGUCUCUCUUGUUCUCAUGCUCAUACAUGUGUGAAACAUCAUCCCUUAUAAGGAGGUCCAACUCCUACCAAACUAGCAACGUGGGACUAAACUUUAGUUCCACCUCUUUCCUUGCACGAAUGGGAUAAGUGGGCCUCUAGGAUUUAUUGGAAAUUCUGAAGAAGAUCAUUGGGCUAGCCCAAAAUUAUUAAAUUCCAGCAAUCCCCCACCAGAUCCUAGAGGCACAAAAAAAUUGCCUUUGGUUCCAAAACACUGUUUAUAUACCGGUACUGCACAGGAGACUAUUAAGUUUAACUUCCACCUAGAACUAUAUGUUAUACUAGUAAGCAACUUGAAUAGUGGACUAUGCCUUGAACUGCAAGUUUUCUGUGAAUCUAGUUUCACAUAGAGCCUUGACUGAUACUAGGCUACCGUUGGUGGAGCUUAUGCGUCAUACUCCGAGGACUUUCAUAAGUUUACUAGAGAGCACCCUACUCUCAUAGAUUGCGAUGUUAACAAUCAGACUCAUGUAGGUGUGUUCUUCAAAAGAGUUCUGUAGGACAACAUCUCUGCUUCAACAAGACAUUUAGAACAUAUAAAGAUAUAUAUCAACCUUCCAUGCAUAUUAGGAAAGUAUUGCAUCUUCAUGGAGUGGUAUUAUCAAUGGUAAGGAUACUUUCCUCUCACUUGACCAACAACUUGUCUUCCACAUCUAAUUCACGGGAUCUCCGGUCACAUUGAAUAGUUUAGCACCGUGAACAACUCAUAUUGUGGGUCUCAUACCCAUCCCCUUCGAUGCAUUAUAUAUCACAUUACAAGAUAGACCCUUAGUAAAAGGAUAUGCCAAAUUUUUAGAUGUUUGGAUAUAAUCCAAUGAAAUAACUCCGGAGUUUCUCAUUUUCCUCACAGAGUUUAACCUUCACUGAACAUGUCUUGAUGACUUCAUGUUAUCCUAUGAACUACUCACUUUUGCACUUACAGUUUGAUUGUUGUGGUUCAUAAGAACACCUGGUGCAGGUUUCUCAACAAACUAUAAGUCAUUCAAGAGCCGACGAAGCCAAUCUUCUUCGCCAUAGCUGUAUCUAGUGUUGUGAGUUCUGCUUCCAUUGUUGACCUCGUUAAGAUUGUUUGCUUGCAAGACUUCCAAGAAACAGCGCCACCACCAUGAGUAAAUACAUAUCCGCUCGUGGCCUUUAUCUCAUCAGCAUGAGAGAUCCAGUUUGAGUCACUAUACCCUUCAAGUACCUUUGGGUACCGAGUGUAUUGAAUUCCAUAACUCGUAGUGCCCUUCAAAUAGCGCAUAACUCUUUCUAGAGCUUUCCAAUGAUCAUCUCCUGGUUUUGAGACAAACCGGCUCAGCUUGCUAGCAGCAAAAGAGAUGUCACGUCUCGUAGCGCUUGCUAAAUACAUGAGCGAGCCAAUUAUUUGGGAUUAUUUCAAUUGAUCUCUAGCAAUUAUUCGAUUCUUUCGAAGCAACACGCUAGCAUCAUAAGGUGUUGGAGAAGGCUUGCAGUUAGUAUAACCAAAGUGACUCAAGAGAUUUUCCACAUAGUGAGAAUGAAGCAAAGUAAUCGCACCGUCAUCACUUCUCAGCAGCUUGAUAUUCAGAAUAACAUUAGCUAAUCCUAAAUCCUUUAUCUCGAAACAACGAGAUAGGAAAUCCUUGACUUCCUUAAUAACAUUCAUAUUUGUUCCGAAAAUCAAUAUGUCUUCAACAUAUAAGCAGAGGAUAACUCCCUCGCCCCCACCAUGGCGAUAGUACACACAUUUGUCAGCUUCGUUUACAACAAAGCCUACACCUAUUAAAGUUCUUUCAAACUUCUCAUGCCACUUCUUAGGUGCUUGCUUAAGUCCAUACAAUGACUUCAAAAAUUUGCACACUUUUCCCUCAUGACCGUCCAUUAUAAAUCCAUAUGGUUGUUCCAUAUAAAUUUCCUCGUCCAACUCUCCAUUUAGGGAAGCAGUCUUAACUUCCAUUUGGUGGACGAGAAUACCAUGUGAAGCUCCUAGUGAAAGAAGUACUAGAAUAGUGGUCAGUCGAGCCAUAGGUGAGUAAGUGUCAAAGAAGUCUUCACCUUCCUUUUGGGUAUAACCUUUGGCCACGAGUCAUGCCUUGUACUUCUCAAUAGUACUAUCAGGCCUAAGAUUCUUCUUGAAUACCCAUUUGCAGCCUAUAGGUUUGCACACAUAGGGACAAUCAGUUAUCUCACAAGUUUCAUUUGCGAGGAUGGAAUCCAUCUCACUACAAACCGCUUCCUUCUAGUAGUCAGCAUCUUCAGAUACAUAAGCCUCUGAAAUAGAACUGGGAGUGUCUUUUAUGAGAUAUACAAGAAAAUCAUCACCAAAGGACUUUGUAGUCCUUUGACUCUUGCUCCUUUUAGGAUUCUCCUUGUUGUUCUCCACAGGAUCUUCAAGAUGUUGUGUUGCAAUAGUCGGUUCAGAAGGUGCACCUACAUCUUGACUCGAUAAGCUAGGCAUCUCCUGAUUUGAUGCGCUAGCCAUAUCCUUAAUGGGAAAUAUAUCUUCAAAGAAGGUCACAUCAUUCCACUCCAUGAUUGUGCCAACAUGCAUGUCAGAUACCUCAUAUUUUAUAAUCAAGAAUCUACAACCAAUGCUAUGAAAAUAUACCCCAGGAAAACAUAAUCCACAGUUUUUGGCCCAAGCUUUCGCUUCUUUGGAAUUGGUAUAUUGACUUUUGCCAAGCAGCCCGAAGUUCAUAGGUAAGAGAGUUUUAACCUUUUCUUCUCCCAUUCCUCAAAUGGAGUUAUCUCUUUGUUCUUUGUGGGAACUCGGUUUAGGACAUGACAUGCAGUCAAAAUCGCAUCCCCCACCAUGCCUUGGAGAGACCUGAUAUGACUAAAAUGGCGUUAACAAAAUCAGUUGGAGUGUGGUUCUUCAUUUCAGCUACCCCAUCUGACUGAGGUGAAUAGGGAGGCGUUCUCUCAUGGAUUAUACCAUGUUCGGCACAAAAAGAAUCAAAUUCAUUGAAAAAAUACUCUCCACCAUGAUCAGACCUAAGCCUCUUAAUUUUCUGAUCAAGUUUGUUUUCCACUUUAGCUUUAUAGAUCUUGAAGAAAUUCAAAGCCUCAUCUUUAGAUUUUAAAAGAUACAGAUGGUACCAUCUAGUGGAGUCAUCGAUUAAUGUCAUAAAAUAUGACUUUCCACCUUUCGUCAAAAACACUGUUCAUUUCACAAAGAUCUGAAUGUAUGAGUUGUAGUGGCGCAAGAUUUCUUGUUUCUGCAGUUGCAUGAGACUUACGAGGUUGCUUAGCUUGCACACAAACUUGACCCUUAGAUCCCUUGAUAGAAGUGAAGUUCAGGAUCAAGUUCAACUUGACUAGCCGCGUCAUAGAACCAAAAUUAACAUGACAAAGACGUGAAUGAAAGACAUUUGAUUCUCUAUUAUUGCAAACGUGAUUAAACCCUUUAUUACAAAACAUCUAAUAAAGAUAGUCUGAACAAGCCUCCUGACUCAUAACCUUUACCAAGAAAAGUUCCAUACUUGGAUAUAAAAUUUAUUGGACUGAAAGACAAACUUGUAGCCAUCUCAACAUAGAGGAGAUCCACUAACAAGAUUUUUAUUAUCGGAGGGUACAUAAUGCAUGUUCUUCAGCCGCAUUAUUUUUCCUGAAGUAAACUUCAGAUCGACCGUGCCAACACCACGAACAUAAGCACUUGAACCGUUUCCCGCCAGGAUGGAGGUAGUCCCUGCGGCCUGAUAUGAAGAAAACAUAGAAAUAUCACCGCAUAUAUGCACAUUAACACCCGUAUCAAUCAACCAAUCAGGAGAACGACAUAGUGAGAGAAUAGUGGGAAGUAUACCAUACCCAACAUCCUGCAUCUCAGCAUCACCAAUGAUAACAUUAGCAAUCUUGUCGCCUUUCCCAUGUUGACGCUUUUCAUAACGGUUAGGGCAACUAGGUGCCCAAUGAUGAGGAUCUCCGCAAACAUGACAAACACCUUUCUUUUUGUCAGUCUUCUUCUUGAGUGUGCUGUGAAGCCUUGUUCUUCCCAUCAAACUUUCCCUUACCAUCAAAUUUGCCCUUGUUAUUGAACUUGUGGGGUUGGAAGUUUUUCUUCUGCACCAGAUUGGCACUAGAACCUCCUUCCAUACCUCAAGCAUGUAUGUCUUGCCUUUUCUUCCACAUCAAGAUUACCAAUGAGAUCCGGAACGGAAAACUCCUUCCUCUUAUGAGUGGGAGAGGUAGCAAAGUUCCUCCAUGAAGGAGGAAGCUUAGUAAUAAUACCUCCGGCAACAAACUUCACCGGUAACAUACAAUUGAAGUUCUCAAGUUCUCCAGCAAAUGAUUGUAUCUCGUGAGCUUGUUCAACCACAGAACGCUCAUCAGUCAUCUUUAUUCAUAGAAUUGUUCCAUGAUAUACAGCUUAGUGCCAGCAUUCGAGACUCCAAACUUGGCCUCGAGCACGCUCCACAUAUCUUUCCAUUGUCAAUUGACGCAUAAGCAUCAACAAUGUUCUCACCAAGAAUACUCAAGAGAGCAUCCUUAAACAAGGUAUCAAUUUUCUGAAAAGCGAAUUCCUGUUGAGGAUCAAGAAUUCCUUCAGGUUUGCCAAGAGUGGCAUCGUAGCAGCUCAUGGUUUGAAACCAUAGAACAUCCCUUACACACCAUCUCUUAUAGUGCACACCCUCGAACAUAGGAGGCCUCAUGGAAGCAGCAAAACCACUCGGGGUAAAUUUCCUAAAAUAAGGUCUUCGGAUUGUUGGAAAUAUGAGCGAUUUACCAAGUGAUUUUACUAGCAGAAAUAGUAGAUGAAUCAUGACUACCAUAGCAAUUAUAAGACAAGCCAGUCGAUUAUACACAGAGUAUGCAAGUAGCAUAUGAAGUGAUGAGCAGGAACGAAACAUAUCUAGAAAAGAAACUAUAACAAGAAGUUGUGGCAGGAACUCAAACAAGAAGAACACGAGAACAUACUGAGUUGGAGCAGCAGCUAUAGUGGGAUUUGCGUUGACGUCGUCAUUGGCCAUGUUGCCGAAGAGGCUGUCGAUGUCGGGGAAGAAGUCGUCAUCCGGGAAGUAGUCGUCAGCGUUCGUGAUGGAAAAGCCAGUAGUCGCAUUGAGCGCUCCCCAAAAACCUUAUCGCCCUUCUCCAGUACAUGACUCAAAGAGACGGGGUUUCGGAGGCCUACUGUUCCGACCUGCGGUGCACGUCGCAAGCCGGGGCGGGGAAAAGCUAGCAGUAGCUCAGAGAUUGGAACUCGUUGGCAUGAGGAAGAUGGUAUUCUCGUGUGUCUCUCUGGAGAGGAGCGACCUGUCUUUUAUAGGCCCAUGAGAAGGAGGCAGGCACGCAACAUCGGGAGGCGAAGCAAAAGAGAUUGCAGUCAGGUUGAUAAUAGUCGAGUGACAUUACUUCGUCGGUCCAAACUAAGGAAUCUGUUAUAAAUGUUUUGAAAUAGAUAUUGUUCUCUCUUUGAUCAGGGAUUGCUAUAUGAAAAUAAGUGGAGUUUGAAAAAGGGAACGAAAUGCUCAAACCGGAACUGCUAGAGGAACGAAUUUUCAAUAGCAUAACUUGGGCUCCUAGAAUAUGGUGCCCUUGAGACAAUCUAUUUGAUUGCAGGGUUUUGUUCUGAAGCAAAGAUAUCCGCAGAGGACGGUUCGUUCGUCCUAUUCUGAUAUUCAGGACCAAGAGGUACUGCAUUCUCUGGCUGAAAUGCCAACGGAACUCUGUCUAUUCUCUAAUUCACCCGAUCCGAUAGUACCUGUUUUUGGAACGUCCAGUGCCAAAGUCAUUGAAUGGGUAAGUCACGAAUCCAAUCCCUUUGACAAAUCGGAUGUCAUAUUAUAUAUCAUAUCCUAUAUAUAUAUAUAGAAAUAUCAUAGAUACCCCGUUUCGUGACGAGGCGAGACGGGCGGCGGAGGAGGAGGAGCGUGCGUGUAUGUCUCUCUUGUUCUCAUGCUCAUACAUGUGUGGAAACAUCCUUUCUUAUAAGGAGGUCCAACUCCUACCAAACUAGCAAUGUGGGACUAAACUUUAGUCCCUCCUCUUGCCUUGCACGAGUGGGCUAAGUGGGCCUCUAGGAUUUAUUAGAAAUUCUGAAAAAGGUCAUUGGGCUGGCCCAAAAUUAUAAAAUUCUAGCACAUAAUUGGGGGGGGGGGUAUACCUCUGGGGCUCCCGAUAGUCCGAUGAGCAGGCUGCCGGACAUGAGGCAGACAAAGGGAUCCGCAGCGCUCGGCCAUAGAUUAGUGUAGGGUAUCCAUGUCGUUAGAAUGGAGCUCCACGCGACCAGACGUGCACAUAGUUUUACCUAUUUUAGUUCAAAUAUGUCCAAAAUGCAAUGAAUUUAGUCCGGUUUAUAUGAAAUCCGUUGUGUUUGCAUGAGUUUCAUCUGCUUUGUUGGAAAAGUGUUUGAAAUAUACUUCCUCCGUUCCAAAAUAUAAGACCUUUUAGGAAUUUCACUAUAAGACUACACACGGAGCAAAAUGAGUGAAUCUAUACUCUAAAAUAUGUCUAUGUACAUCCGUAUGUAGUUUAUAGUGCAAUCUCUAAAAGGUCUUAUAUUUAGGAACGGAGGGAGUAUGUGAGUAACGAUGGAUGACCGACAACACUCGAGAAUAUCAUUUUUGGUGGUGCUCCUCAGGUGCCGAGUCAUCACUUUCAAGGUGAAAACCUAAGGUCUAACUUUCGUUUUGUGCCUUAUAUUAGAGUAUUUAACCAAAAACCACCAUAAUUCAUGGAAACGUGCCUAGAAACUACUACUAUACGUUUUUGUGCCGAAAGCUACCAUUUUUAUCCUAAUCAGUGGCAAAAAACUACCAAGUGUGAAUAUUGCUCCAUUAGCCUCUUUGAAAUGCCUUUUAUCCUAAUCCGUUAACUACUCCAUUAACCUACCUGGCGCAGCCCCGCCGCCGUCGCCAUGGCCUCGCCCAAAGCGGCGGCCGCCCCGUGCCUCGCCGUCGGCAGGCCUCCUUGUCGCCGACCACGUCGCCGUCGGAUCCCGGCGUCCUGCGAACCGCCCCACGCUGCCAGUCUCCAUGCCCUCGCACCGAGCGGCGGCCGCCCCGCGCCUCGCGGCCGAAGGCCUCCCGUCGUGGACCCUGCCGUGGUUGGAUCCCACCGCCUCGCCUCCCUGGCGCAGCCUCGUUGCCCCGUGAACCGCCCCGCGCCGUCCAUCGCCAUGGCCUCGCCUCGAGCGGUCGUCGCCAGCGUCUCGCCGUCACCAGAUCCGGCAGGCGUCGCCCUGGUUCCGCCUCUCCCGGACCUCCCCGCCGCCCUGCUCAUGCCGGAGUGCUGCGUGUAGAUCGCGUCGUCUCCUCCAGAUCCGGUCGCACCGCCGCCGUACUUCAUCUUCUCCACCUCCGGUGAAGGCCGCCGCCGUCUCGAUCUCUUUCUCCGGUGACGGCAAACUUAACGGUGCUGACUUUUCCGUCCUGACAUGUGGGCCAACCCUGUCAUAAUGAGUUUAAACGAGCCAAAUGAGGCGUUUUGCAGACUUGAUUGUUUUUAGUCACAGAUUAGCAAAAAAAAAUUGAUAGUUUUUGGCGCAAAAACGAAUUGUGAUAGUUCCUGGGCACGUUGGCGUGAAUUGUAGUAGUUUUUGAUUAAAUACUCCUCAUAUUACCUUGAUGAAGGUAUUGUUUCGAGAGCUCGGUCUUUUUAAGGGAGAAAACCUAAGAUCUUGGAUCGGACGACGAUGACGCUUGUGCACCGAUUUUUUUUUAAAGGCAUCAUUUUUUAGGAUGGUUUGAGUGUCGCUGCUGCUGAGAAGAGUUGUUCACUGUGACGAGUAGUUGAAAAUGCUCUUACUAUUACAUUUUUCUUUCAAACACGUUACAGUUUACUCCCACCUCAAGUAGUUCCGAGCUACUGUACGUAGUAGCCACACACAUGGAGCGACUCACUCACCUCCAACCAAUUUAACUUUCGUGAAUCUUUGAUCGCUUUUCAUUUGGCCCAGCUCGACGUCACGCGGAUGUCCCCGAUGGAUCUCGCCGGCCACACGCCCCUCGACGACGACGAGAUGAGCAGCGUGUGAUCCUCGUCGCCCCGUCCAUCCAACCGAAGAUAAGACGCCCACUCCCUCCCCUCCACAUGGCACCCACCCUCCAAUCCCUUACUUAUUCCCGCCCCCCUCACUCCUCCAUCCCCUAGCUCCACCUCUCAUCCGCUCCUCAGCCACACCUAGAGCAUCUUAGCUCCAGCUAGCCACCAAUGGCCGCCGCACUGAGCCUCCGCGCGCCCUUCUCCGUGCGCGCUGUGGCGCCACCGGCGCCCCGCGUGGCCCUUGCGCCCGCGGCCCUCAGCCUCGCCGCCGCCAAGCAGGUGCGGGGAGCCAGGCUCCGCGCGCAGGCGACGUACAAGGUGAAGCUGGUGACGCCCGAGGGCGAGGUGGAGCUGGAGGUCCCCGACGACGUCUACAUCCUGGACCAGGCCGAGGAGGAGGGCAUCGACCUGCCCUACUCCUGCCGCGCCGGCUCCUGCUCCUCCUGCGCCGGCAAGUUGGUGUCCGGCGAGAUCGACCAGUCCGACCAGAGCUUCCUCGACGACGACCAGAUGGAGGCAGGGUGGGUGCUCACCUGCCACGCCUACCCCAAGUCCGACAUCGUCAUCGAGACCCACAAGGAGGAGGAGCUCACCGCAUAAGCUGCUUACCCUGCCUCUCUUUGCAACAAGAUCGAGCUGAUAUCAUAUUAUCUCCCAUCAUGCAUGCAUGCAUGGAUAUCGCCAGAUACACCGAUUUGUUUGUGCUCGAAUGAAUUGCUCGAUGCAUGGUUUGCUCCAGUAAUAAUGUCUUCGAAUUACUACCUUUUUGUACCGUAAGAUAUACUACUGUCGUAAUACUAGCGUGUACUUAAUUCAACGUACUGAAAUGAAUCCUGAUGGCUGAGGUGUCUCUCUGAUUAAUAAUAUCUUCUUUUUUACUUAAGAUAAGAGACUGCUGAAUGUUGGUUGCUAACGGUGGUGGUUGAUGUUGAAGUUUUGUUGCUGCAAGUUGAUUGCUUCGCCGCGUUAUGCCUUGCCUUGUUUCUCAUUUAUGUAUUUUUGAUGAUGCAUCGUCGCACUAGGUAGCUCUUGAAUUGUGUUUGGGGGCACCUUGAAAUUAAUAAACAGUAAGGUAGGUCACAAUGUCUUCAACCCCCUUUCUAGAAACCACUCUAACAUCAAAUAGAAUAUUACUCUAUUGAUUAGUACAGAGAUGCUAUAUACACUUUGUCACAGUUUGUACAGAGAUUGUAGGUGAAUGCAAUUGAAUUAAACCAUAUGUGACAUGCACCGUGAAGUCGAAACCUUGCAACAUAGUGUCAGAAAUAACAAAUCGAUGUCUUACUUCAUUAGAUGUGGAACCAUCUACCCUCGUUGUUGAUCAUCAUAAUGGUUUUAUAAACCCCCAACAUGUUGUGUUUUAAAACGAUUGUACCAUGUUCUUGUUUCGACUGCCGGGGGGAGGGCUCGUGAUGACCUACUCUUUCUCAAGUUAUCAUGUUAGUCACUUGGAUGACUUAGGCCCUGUUUGGAACUAUAAUACUCCCUCCGUUCCAUAAUAUAAGUCUUUUUAAAGAUUCCACUAAAAAACUACAUACAGAUGUAUAUAAACAUACUUUAGAGUGUAGAUUCACACAUUUUGCUCCGUAUGUAGUCCACUAGUGAAAUCGCUUAAAAGACUUAUAUUUAGGAACGGAGGGAGUAGAUUAUAAUAAUCUAGAUUAUGAAGAUAGAUUAUAUAAUCUGGUUUAUAAAAAUAAUCUAGAUGGACAUGUUUGGAGGCCGGAUUAUAUAAACUGUAAUCCAGAUUUUACAUUGCAUAAUGACCUGUCUGCCCUCUGUUUAAAAAAAAAAAAGGGUGGCGGUGGUAGGAAUGUAAUUAUCUCCAACUUUACAAGGGUAAUAGAUCAUUAGCAAUCCAUAAUCUGAUUUUAGCUGGUAUAGACUAGAUUAUGAGUUUUUAAUAAUAUAUCCAUCUAGUUUUUAUAAUCUACACCAUAAGCUGUCCUGUUUGAAGACAAAAUAGAUUAUAGAAACUGGAUUAUAUAAUCUGGAUGGUUCCAAACAGGGCCUUAGAUGGAGAUAAUGCACACCAUUGAAAAAAUUAUACUUAUAGAUAGGGUCACUUUAGUGGCUGGAAUAGUCUCGGACCUGUCACUCGUACUUCGGUCCAACAACGUACAUGCCAUUGCAAUUUACUGAGCAGGGAUUGCCGCCCGCCACUGAUUUUCUAGUCCCACAUUGGCCAUGGGGAAACCUUUUCAGUGGCGGGCGGUCGGGUACAACCUACCACUGGCAGUGAAGUUGUCACUGGCAGGCACCGGUUUCCUCCAACCAUUAGUGCACCACAUAUGUAAUUUUCUAAUUUCCUGCAUUUGUUUUUACAUUUUAGUGUGGUAUUCUUUUGUGACUUUGUUACUGUAUGAGAAUUGUUUGACCUUUGUAGUAUCUUUAUUUGCUAUAUUUUAGACAUUUUAUUAAUAAAGUUGUAUUUAAUUGAAUAUAAUUAUAUUUUUUGAACUACAACUAUAUAUUUUAAAUUACUUUCAAAGGUUCGAAGACAAAUAUUUAUGUCUCGUGAAACAAUAGUAUUGUUUCACCAAUAUUUGAGCAGUUUUUCAGCAUAUGUAGUUCAUAUUUAAUUUAUGUCCAUUAGAUAAACUAAAAAUGCAUUUAAUGCCCCAAAUAUAUCAUAUAAACCUAGAAACGCAUUUAAUGCCCCAAAUAUAUCAUAGAAAACUAGAAUAGUCCUGAAUUUGACCAAGGAACUUGUAAUGGUGUAUACCAAAAAUAAAAAAAGUUUCUGUUAAAAAAUGAUGAAAAAAUUGUGUUCCCAUUCAAACCCAACAUUUUCCCUUAGAAACGUUGAUACUUCCGUGGAGACUGUUAUUUCUACGUGAAGUGCAUCGGAUUUUUUCUGUGAGUCUCUAAUUUUGUUACCACACCUUCGGUUUCAUAUCAUGACACCAUGCAAAGUUCCAUCAUUUUCAAACUGAAUUUACAUCUAUGUAUAAAAAAAAUCAAUACUCUUAAUAGCUAGAAAUUGAUCUGAUGCUUAAAAAUAGCAAAUCAACCCAAAAGGUGAUAAAGUCUAUCAUGAGUCUUUAUGAAGUAAAUUCAACCCCACAAAAGGUGGAAAUUAAAUUCUACCCCUAAAGCAGUAAAGCAAACAUAUUGCAAAAAAUGCAAAAAAGUAGCGUGCGACCAUAAACACCCUCCAUUGAUUGAUUUUGGUCACAUUCCCGCGAGUGAGUGGGACAUGCCCGCACCUUCAACCUGCAAAUGUGGUUGCCUUAUCCCCCAUUGUCGACCUCUCCCAUCCGACUCUACCCAAUCCCUAGCUUGCAAUCACCAUUGCUGCACCCGUCGUUGUCGCCGGCGAGGGAAUCAUCGUCUUUUUCAUGGGUUGUCAUUGUUGCAACAACCCCGGUCAGCGUGGCCGAAAUGCCCACCCCAUGGCCUCCUCCACCAGCAAUGGUGGCCUAACCCGCUGCCACUAGCCUCCUCUUCCUCCAAGCCCGAUGCCUUUAACUCUCCCCAUGUCUCCUUGCGCGUCGGUGGCCCCAAUCUCCUGGUUGUAUUUUGCAAUUGCAAAGGACAUUGUAUUCGUUGUGAGAUACUUAAAUCUGUUGAAAGGAUAUCGAAUUCUAUAAGCAACAUGCUUCUUGCUUGUGGAAUGUGCAGGCUAUUCUUUCAUGGAAAAUUUGGUCUUAGGAUACUUGGGGAUAGGAAAUAGAGAAUUAAUCAAGGUAGAUUGUUGUUAAUCCAUUUUGCUUCAUAUCCUUCUAUUGAUGUAUGAUUAGCUCGUUCUUUCUAGACUACGCCAUAUACAUCAUUUCUUUAGCAAAUUUAUUUACUCCUGCUUGCAUAACUAUGUCGUAUGCAUCAUUAUGCUUAGCUCCUGCUUGCAAGAUUACUUGAGGAUAAUAGGAAGCAAUUAUGGUUUCAGAAUAAACCAAUCAGAAUAAGAAACACAUCCUCUAUACUCACAUCAUCUUUUAUACCUCAAUGCUUGUAGGUGUAGUGUUUUUUGCCCCAUGCAAAUUUGUGUUACGUCAUCUUUUAGAUACAAAUCAUGGUACCCUUGUUCCUGUCUUGACAUCAUGGUCAUGUUUUAAAAAAAGCAUUUUCUUAUUUAUGUUACACCCCACAUGUAUGUAUACAUAUAUUUCUUUUUUAUGUCUCUUUGAAGGUUGUUAGUGCCACAUGUAGGUGGGGUUGUAUUUUUUUAUUGGUGAAAGUUGUUGGUUCUACAUGUUGUGUCACCUUAUAUAAGGUGUAUUACACUUUAAAUAGUAAUGUGCAUAUCUCCAAAAUUUGUAGGGCUUCAAAAUGAGUGCCAAAAUUCUGGCGAAAUGUUGAUUUAUUUCCAUUUCACCACAUUUUGAGCACUCAAUAUUUUCAAUUUUUUUAGCAAAACUAUGCCCAACUUUUCCAAUGAUUCAUAAUUGUUUACCCUUAUUAUUUUAUAGAUGUACUGGCUAUACUAUAGUGUAUAAAUGAUGCGACGAACUAUGUGUUUUCUAUUUAAUUUCUCAACAUGAAUGUAUGCAAUCAACCAUGUAUACCCAUGAUGUGGUAACAUCAACGUAGGUGUGUGCCACAGGUGCUUAUCAACUCUAAGGAAUUCUACGUAGAUCUUGACGAGAACUUUCCACAGAGGAUUGUACGUUUUAAUUCAACAUGUGUUGUGGAUGCUGAAUUGCUCACAUAUAUAAAAUUACCCAAAAAAUGUCUAUUUUUCAUAUUUCUCCAUGCAUCCCUUGUUAUGCAAGGCUCACUUCCUACAUAAAGUGAACGUGCCAUAGAGGAGAAGGUUACAUUUGAGCUCAAGAUGAUCAUGUUAAAAAAUGGCACAACCUUCAACCUUACGGUCACCAACGAGGCACACGGAACCUUUCAGUUGCCCAUGUUGAAGAGGGAUUGCAACCGAAUAAAUGAUGCAAAAUGCGAAGGCAUUCUUGUUUUUUUAGCGAAGGCGUUCUUUGUCGUUUCUUGGCGAACAAGAUGAUGAUGACAACAUCUAUAUGUGGUUCACACCGCCCCCACCACCAUAGUUGUUCUUGGUGGAAGGAUUCGGAGUUCAUAGGCAUAGUUUUAUCAUGCACUUCAUUUAAUGCAUAUGUUAUAUCUUUUUAUAAUCAUCCAAAUUUAUUCCUCAAAUAACGGCUAUAUCAUUUAAAAUUAAAAGAGAAAUAGAGUUUAGGGGACUAGAAUCCCAAAUAGAAGAGGGUCUAUAGGUAAAACUAGUCUUUGCUAGAGAAUCUGCUAUUUUGCUUCCCAAAGCAAUGGGCAAAAGAUGUGCCAGCAAAGUCCAUCACCAGAAAAUAGCAUUCCACGAUAGUGGCUGCAUCUGGCUCGAAAUUAUUCGUAUGCCAGUUCACAACCUCCACAACUAGGAUACCCAUGAUGUUUCGAUAAUCACAUUAGGUUUCCAUCACAUUAUUGCACACAAUGUUUCCAGCCAAACGAGCCCUUUGCGAAUGGCACUUAACUCUAUCAAAUCGGCACUACUGACAUGAGGCAAAUACCAUGUAACAGUGAAUGACACUUAACUCUAUCAAAUCGGCACUACUAACAUUAGGCAAAUACCAUGUAGCAGUGAAUGGCACUUAACUCUAUCGAAUCGACACUAUCGACAUGAAGCAAAUACCACAUAGCAGCGAGAGAAAGUUGCCUUUGUCAUCACGUACAAUAGCUCCCAUCGCACUCGAUUGUGUUUCAUAACGGAAAGAAGCAUCCACACUAACAUUAACACUUCCCAUGUUAGGUCUCUUCCAUAUAUGAUAUUUUUUUCAUACAGCUGAUUUGAAGUUACUGCUCUUAUGAAAUCUUUGGCCAAAACAUUGAUAGAAACUGCUCCCUUUUAGGGUUUUGGAGAGUGUAGGAUCGAAAGUAUGUCUAGUGGAGGGGGCUUCAUUAGACUACUUGAUAAGAUAAAAACUGAACCUUUUUCCUAAUUUUAGUUGUGGGCUAGUUUUAGCAAUUAUGACUAGUCAAGUUCAUCCUACUCAUGCAUAUCUAAGAUUAUAGCAGCGGAAAGUAAAGACAUGCAAAUGUAAUGAAGAGGGUAAGGUAGGAAGAUCAAAUGCAAAGGUCGACACGGUGAUUUUUGGCGUGGUUCUGAUAGGUGGUGCUAUCGUACAUCCAUAUUAGUGGAGACUUCAACCCACGGAGGGUAACAGCUGCGAGAUUACACAAAGGGCUCCACCCACAAGGGCUCCACGAAGAAGCGGCCUUGUCCAUUCCACCAUGGCUUACGUCCACACAAGACUAACCUCACUCACGGUAGAUCUUCACGAAGUAGGCGAUAUCCUUGCCCUUACAAACUUCUUGGUUCAACUCCACAACAUGAAGUAGGAGGCUCCCAAGCGACACCUAACCAAUCUAGGAGGCACCACCCUCCAAAAGUUAAUAGAUGCAAUAGAAGGAUGAACUCCUUGCUCUUGUGCUUCAAAAGAUAGUCUCCUCAACACUCAAUCACUCUCUCAUAGAUUUUGCAUGGGUAGGAGAGAUUGAUCCCAUGGAAAGCAACUUGGGGAGGCUAGAGAUCAAGUUUCAAAUGGUUGAAUUGGAAUCUCUUGAUCUUAACACAUGCAUGAGUAGGUGGCUUUCUCUCAGAAAUAUGGAUCUGGCAAGUGGGUGUGUGUUCUCAGUGCUUCCUUUUCGAAUGCGAGGAGGUGGAGGGGUAUAUAUAGACAUCUCCCAGAAUCCAACCAUUACCACAUUAUUUCCCAAUGCGGUGACACCGAAAGGAAUCUUAGUGGUACCAAGUUGCAAUAAAUGUGGCACCUUUUGAAUUCUUGGUAGACCAAUAUAUGAAUCUCGAUGGUAAAGAUACGAUGAUCUAGACCAGUUUCCAAAUCUCGGUGAGACCAAUUCCAAUCUCGGAAAUUCUGAUUGUUGGAAUUUUCUCAACAGAAAGUUGGUCAUUGAAUCUCGGUGGCUCUCAUAUGAAAGUUUGUGGUACCGCCAGAUUAGAGUCUGGCAACGGAUCCAUUGGGUGGAAAAUUAGUAGGGCCAAGUGGAAAAUAUUGGUGGCACCGAUUUUGCUCGUUUAGCUUUGGACAGGGAUAUCUUGUGGGAGAAUGGCUUAGUAGUUUUGGUGGCUAUCUCUAAGCACUUGAGCAACCAAUUCACCGUAAUACCUCACCCCCUUUAAAUAGUAUUGGCCUUCCUAUGGACUCAAAGUGAUUUAUCACAUAUGUAAAAUGUAGAGUCUUCUUGCUUGAAGCUUGAGCUAAUCCUAUUCCUUCCUUCAUCAAGGGGUUUCUCCACACAAUCCUUUAGCCAAGGCAUCUUUGAACUUUUCUAAAAUAUACUUGGAUAACAUCAUUAGUCCAAUGAUGCAUAUGUUGUGAUCAAUUAUCAAAACCACCUUAGGGAGCAAUUGUGCUUUAAAUCUCUCCCUUUUUGGUAACUGACGACAACAUAUAGAUCAAAGCUUCAACAAAAGGUAUAAUCAAUUAUUAGCAUCGACGCUUUGAGAAGUACGUGGAAAGCAAGAGAUGCCCCUAUAUUUGUGCAUUAUUUUAUAUUUGCAUUGGAAUGCAAAUGCACAAUCGAUUAGGAUCAUGGGUCACUCUUCCAUGUCACAUAUAGCUUGGUGGUGCGCAUAAAUGAUAUGAAUAAAUAGUAAUGCACAUAACACCAAACAAGCAAGUGAAUGAUCAUCAAGUAGAUGGCUCCAAGGUAAUAACGUGGUAGCAGCAAUCAAACAAAGUAUAGAUCAAACACUUCUCCCAAACACAUAAAGUCAACCAAAAGACCAAAAAAUUGAAAAACCAAAUGAGACCAAAUAAAAUGCAAACCUCUCCCUCUCGAAGACUAUUUGAUCUAUACACUUGUCCUCCUUUGGCGACAAGUUACCAAAAAGUUUGAAGGUCUAGAACUAAUUAUCUCUCUGGCUUGAACUCCUCCGGUAGAUGAUGAUGGAGUGGAUAGGAGAGCGUCGAUGAAGGCUUUUGCACAUGUCCCUGGAGCUGGAGGUGUUGACACUAGAGGUGCAGGAGCAGGAGUUGAAGGUGCUAAAGCUUGAGCUGAUGAAGAUGGUCUUGCUUCCAGAACUGGCAUAGUUGUUGACCUAGUCUGGGUCGUGAACUGAGUAGUAGUAGGAAGAGGCGACUCUUCCUCAUCACUUCUAGAGCGGGAUAUAUGCACAGAAUCAACUUUAUGCUGGAGCUGCUCAACAGUGGUAGUCAACUCCGUUACCUUAACCUCCAAGUCAUGGAAUUUUGUCUCCACGAUCCUCUCAAGUCUCUUCUGGUUCAGCAAGAUCUCGGAAAUUUUCUUCUCCAUCCCUUGGAUGGUACUGACCAAGAAUGACAUCUGCUCAUCUCUGGUCCUGAGCUAUGCGGUUGAAGCUGGAGCAUUCCUAGCAGCCGCUGUCUCUGCUACCUCUGCUGCCGCUUGAGCUGUAGCUGAGCUAGGAUGGCUAGGGUCCAUCACAACUUCAUUAUCUUCAAACUCUGGCUGAAGUGGCAGGUGGGGACGAUCAAGUAGAUAUGCAUGCUUGCCAAUCUUGGCAUUGAUGAGCAUCUGAAUAUAUGGAGCAUAUCCACAGGAUUUCUUUUGAUCUACAGCAGUCUUCCUCACAUGCUCAACUAUCAAGUCCAUCAUUAUGAACCGGAAGUGGGUGUCUAGAUGAUCCAACAUGUUGAUGGAAUAACCUCUAAUAAUCUUAUCCUCUCCUGAUUUGGGCAUGAGGGUGUAUCUCAUAAUGGUGUUUGUAGUAGGUAUCCCUGCUUGCAAGAAAUAGACAAAUCCAAACUUGUACAUCUGCACAUAUUUAUGAGGCACUGGCUUGUACAUUUUGCCGUAGAGUUAUGAUUCAUCUUGGGUUCUGAGUACACAUCCAGAUCUCCUUCUUGUGCCUUUGGAUCACCAAUUGUAGUGGCUCACUCAUACAUAAUAGACUCAUACCGGUGACCUUCAGUCAUCCAUACAAUCCUUCCGUCAGAACAGAAAUUAGCGAUGGAAUAGAAUUGCAUGAUCAUCUCAUCAUUCCAAGCAGUCAUCUCUCUGCCAACAAAAUAUUUAAUAUCGACUAGCCUGAAGUUUUCUCUCACAUGGGGAAAAUAAUGCUCACUGGCCUUGAUAUAUUCCCAAUGGACAUAUCUCAUAUCGCUGACUGCAAGACUCUUAUCAUGAAACACACUCUCAUAGAAAUCUUGUUGCUCCUUUAUGUGAAAGCGGGGAUCAACAACAGUUCUCCGUCUCACAUCAUAUGGAUCAACUGAUCUCCACUUACUCACUCCUUGAUCUCUCCUCUUUUGUAUGUCCUGAGCAGUUGGUGAGCAACAUUGUGUAGUGGCAGAUGAGCUCAAAGCUUCAUUAGAACAGGGGCACCCUCUUCCUCUUCUACCGCAAACUCUCUGGAUGCAGAGCCUUUGUUCCUCUGUGCUGCAGGAAUGUCCUUGGUAGUCUUCUUGGGAGCUACAGACUUCUUAGGAGUUGAGAACUUCUUGGGAGCAGAAGGCUUCUUUGGCAUAGCAUCAACCAUCGGCUUUUUCUUCAUAGGAGGAGGGACCUUAUGUGGAAUUUAUUCCUCCUCCUCAUCAACAACUUCUUCUGGGUCUUCAUAUAUUGAGGUUGGCCUUCCAAUAACAUAGUCAAUUCUCUUUCUUGCUCUCGUAUGACAUGGCUUCUUUGCAAGCCUAGCUUCUGGAGCUUUCAUGUCAGAACGUAUGGCAUAUUCCUUCCUCACAGUCUUCCUGACUGCGGUCUUAUCUUUCUGCUUCUCAGGAACAGAUUCCUCUGGAAUAAAGUCAACAUCUUCUUCAUCCGAAUUGAUCUUCCUUCUGGACCUGGUAGCUGCCUUGGACAAGCUAUGGGAGCUAGGUGUCCCUGGGUCAGAAGGUGUCCUCCUAGGACUAGUGCCUGAAUCCAUCUCAGCACUUGGCUCAGUGAAGUUGUUCUGACUAUCCUCUGAUCCUGACAUACUGUCACAGAGCCAAGUAGACAAUCAAACCCUAUGAAUAGAUAUACAAGAUCUAGAAGGGAUGAGCAUCACAAAAAUCAGAAGUUUUGGAAAAAUCGAACUCUGAAAAGUUAGGUUUAACAUUUAGCAAAAAAGGAUUUGUGUUCCAUCGAGACAAAAAUUUCGGAGGCACCGAUACUGACGUACUAAUUAACAGAAACUUGGCACCCUUUUCCGUUCCACUGAAAAGGAGAACUCACUUUCACCGAGACCGUUCUCGGUAGCCCUAAAAAAUCGUUAAGACCAACUUUUCUAAAUCGGUGACACCGAGAUUCAAUCUUGCGGAUGGCUAACCCUAAGAAUUCCAUUGUUCUCUAAUCUAUGGAAUUUUUCUUCUAGAUAGGAUGAGUGUAGAAGUGGACAAAAUUCAUCAAAACCUUAAUGCACAAGAAUCAGAAUUGGAGCGCAUAAAGGGGUCGGAUCCGUACCCUAGCUUGGUGAUGUAUCCGCUACGGCAACGACGACGGUGAAGAUUCCUGUUGACAACGAAGACUCCGGUGGUGAGGGCGCACGUGAGAAUUAAGGCGAUGUCCACGGGACUAGGGCGCGGCAUCGAGGAUGUGCGUCACGCGACGUUUGAAGUGAUUUUCCAAUCAUCGGGUCCGUGAGAUAUAUAUAUCUCCUAGCUGUCGGUGACACCGAUAUGGAAUUUUUGGUGCCACCGAGUUCCACAACUGUCAACUGAAAGUGAAAAUAGGUGAGGCCGGAAAGAACAACUCAGUCAUACCAAGUUAAGAAAACCUGAUCAACCCUAGGCUUCGGUGGGACCGAGAUUUUGUGGUUGGUCACACCGAGAUGCAAUUUGGGAGGUUUUGGGAUUCAGCACUUGUCGAGACGGAUCUAUCAAGCACUUGUGUCCCUAAAGUUCUUGCUCAAAUUUUGUGUUGUAGCAUGAAUAGAAUUUGAGACGAGAAAGCAUAGAUAGCUAGAGGGAAGUACUUAGGCAUUCUUGUAUAUCCAAUUGGCCAAAUGAAAUAGAAAGACAAAUAACAACAAUUGGAUAUCCUCGAAUGAGAAAAAUAUGCAUACCAACAUGCUCACACAAUAAGGUGUCAAAUAAAACAUGGUGAACAUGCACGAACAUUCUAGCAUCUAUCAAGCACUUUGGCGAUAAGGAAUUCAUCUAUAUAUGAGUAUAUUGACAUAGGAGCCAAGUAAGAGUACUUGACAAUAGGUCAUACUCAUCGAUUAAGAACAAGUGGGGUUAUCACUUUUACAUAAAACAUUAAUGUGCUCACAUCAUUUAGGAGACGCUUAUACUCAAGUCUUAGAGUAAAGCUCCUCCUAGAUGUGACAACCCCCUAAGAGGGAUAAACUAACCUUAGGUUUUGUAGUAGAAGAUUUCAAGUAGGUGUAGUAGUGGUGCAUGCUCAUUGUUGAUAAAGAUCAUCUUUGAGUUGGGAGCAAUCCUAGUUGUUUCUUACCCUUCUCACCUACAUGGGUUAGUCCCAAAGCAAAAGGAAUGUAUGCAAGAAUAUCUAUGGACAUGGCAUGAAGUGCAUGAGAGGUGAUGUAAAAAUAUGCAUUAAUUACCUUGUCCUUUGCUUACCUUUGAGGUAAUGUGUGACUCCUUGAACUAAUGCAUAUGGUUGGAGUUGAUUGCAUAUAGUUCUUGCCAAAAUGAAUAAGAGUGAAUUUGAUUGGUAGAGUCACCCCCUCAAGAAGUUUCUAGUUCUUCAUCUUAGGGACCCACAUCAACUUGAUGGGGAUCCUUGGAGUUGUGAUAGCAGUAGAUGAGGUAGUGUUAGUUGUGUCCAUGGGAUUCCACUCGACCUUGGCUUGGGUUUCUUCCUCAAAUGAUUCAAUCUCCUCUUGAAGCUUUCCCUUGCCCUUGUGAUCUUGUGGUUGAAGGUCAUGUUGAGAGCUUGUUCCCUUGGGAAGAGUAGGAUCAUACUUUUCCUCUUGAGGAACGAACUUCGGUAUGGGAUAUAGACCUUCUUCCCAUUCAUCUCCGUUGGCAUUGAGGUAACCAACACCGUGCUUCUUCCGAUGUCCUCCUAGCUUGCGCAUAAUUUACUCGAAUUGCUAACUUUCGGCAAGACUCUUGAAGACACCUCUCUCUUCCUUUCCAUAAAUCAUUUUCUUUCUCAAGUGUAACUUGGCUAAGAGAAUCAUUAGUGGAAUCAAGAGAGCUACUAGAAACAACAUCAUUUGAUCUAACUUUAGCAUUUUGUUACUAGAUGAAGAAACUUUCUUGCAUUUGUUACUAGUGUUCUUAGGUUUGACUUGUGGAAUAAAAGUAGAUAAGAUUAAUCAUUUGAAUAGAUAAGAAUAACUCUUCUUCCGAAGAUCAUCAUUGAUUGCUCUUAGAAACUCAUGAUCUUGUCCUAAAUUUAGCUUCUCGAAGCAUAACUUCUCAUGAGUUCUUGCAAGCUCCCUUUGAUCUUCUAGAGUAGUUUCACGAGCUAACUUAAGAGUGUUAAAUACUUUAGUUAGUUGUUGAGUAUCUUUCUUAUCAUCAUCAUUCGAUUUCUCUUGACUAGCAUGAUUAUGUUCAAGUUCAUUUUCAAUGUUCUCACUAGUCUUAUCAAGGAGCAAGUCAUCUCCUCCUAACAAGUCAUCCUCAUCACUAUCAGAGUCAAAGUAAUUGGGGUGUGAUACCUUGGGGCCUUUUUCCAUGAAGUUGUUUCCAGUCCCUUCAUUUGGUGAAUCAAAUAAGUCAUAGGAGUUGGAGGAAACGAGUUCAAGACCGACAACACCUUCAUCUUGACUAUAGUCAGAGUUGGAGUGGUAGCUUCUCUCAGAUUGGUUGUCAGACUCGGAGCCGGAAAGCCUUUCACCAACAUGAUCUUGAUGUCUUGUUCUUGAGAUGCUCUUGGUGUACUUGUCCUUCCUCUCCAAUUCCUUUCCUCUCUGGGAGUGUCUUCGUUCAUAAUGAUCUUCUCUAAUCCUUCUCUUUGUGAGAGGUGACUCAUCUCUUGAGCUUCGUCUUCUAGGUGACUAUUCUCUUCUUUUGUGGGGAGCCGAGCACUCAUUGGAAUAGUGUCCUGGGUUUCCAUAGUUGUAGCAGUAUCGGUCACGACUAGACGAACGCUUCUCAUCAUGUAUUGAGCUUGAGCUUCUCUCCUUGCAUCUACUUUUGUAGAACUUGUUCAAUUUUAUGACCAUGAGGUUGAUCUCUUCAUUCGUAACAAAGUUGUCAUUUGAAGUAUCUUGAGUAUAACUUGAAACUCUGUAAGUACCGCUUGACUUGUUGUGCAACUCAUCUUUGUCCUUGAGUGACAUUUCAUGAGCAACAAUCCUUCCAAUAGCUUCAGUUGGCUUGAGAUCCUUGUAGUUUGGCAUCAUUUGAAUUAAUAUACACACGGUGUCGUAUCUUCCAUCCAAGGCUCUAAGUAUAUUCUUGAUGAUGAAUUAGUCGGUCAUCUCUUCACUUUCUAAGUCGGCAAUCUCAGCGACUCCCUCACCAUCCUUCAUCUUGAACUUGUCAAGAUGACUUUGAGGCACAUCCAACUUAGAUUCCAUGACAAAAUCAGCACCUUCGUGCAGAUGAAUCAAAGUAUCCCACGUGCAGAUGAAUCAAAGUAUCCCAAAUUUUCUUUGCAUUCUCAAGGCUUGAGAAUUUUAUUGCAACAUGUUCAAUUCUUCCGAUGUCGCAUCACGAUCCGGUUCCCUUGCUUCUCCAAAUAAAUCACCUUGCACACCAACACGAAUAACAGCCCAAACGGUAGGAUUAUGACCAAGAAUAUGCAUUUUCAUCUUAUGCUUCCAACUAGCGAAGUUUGUACCAUCGAAAUAUGCACCUCUACAGUGAUAAUUUCCCUCACUAGGCGCCAUACUCUCCUAGGUUGUGAAACCAAUGCAAUGGAGGCCAAAACUUUGAUACCACUUGUAGGAUCGAAAGGAUGUCUAGAGGGGGGAGGGUGAUUAAACUACUUGACAAGAUCAAAACUUAGCCUUUUCCCAAUUUUAGUUGUGGUCCAGUUUUAGAAACUACGAGUGGUCAAGUUCAGCCUACACAUGCAUAUCUAAGAGUAUAGAAGCGGAAAGUAAAUACAUGCAAAUGUAAUGUAGAGGGUAAGGUAGGAAGAUCAAACACAAAGGUUGACACAACUAUUUUUGGCGUGGUUCCGAUAGGUGGUGCUAUCAUACGUCCACAUUAGUGAAGACUUGAACCCAUGGAGGGUAAUGACUGCGAGAGUCCACGGAGGGCUCCACCCAUAAGGGGUCCACGAAGAAGCGGCCUUGUCUAUUCUACCAUGGCUUACAUCCACACAGGAGACAAGACUAGCCUCACUCACGGUACAUCUUCAUGAACUAGGCGAUCUCGUUGCCCUUACAAACUUCUUGGUUCAACUCCACAACACGAAGUAGGAGGAUCCCAAGCGACACCUAACCAAUCUAGGAGGCACCACCCUCCAAAAUGUAAUAGAUGCGGUAGAAUGAUGAACUCCUUGCUCUUGUGCUUCAAAAGAUAGUCUCAUCAACACUCAAUCACUCUCUCACAUAUUUGGCAUGGGUAGAAGAGAUUGAUCUUGUGGAAAAAACUUGGGGAGCCUACAGAUCAAGUUUCAAAUUGUUGAAUUGGAGUCUCUUGAUCUCAACAGAUCAGUAGGUUGCUCUCUCUCAGAAAUAUGGAUCUCGCAAGUGGGUGUAUGUUCUGAGUGCUUCCUCUAUGAAAUUGAGGAUGUGGAGGGGUAUAUAUAGGCAUCUCCCAAAAUCCAACCGUUACAACAUUAUUGCCCAACUCGGUGACAUUGAAAGGAAUCUUGGUGGUAUCGAGUUGCACUAAAUGUGGCAACUUUUGAAUUCUCGAUGAGACCAAUAUAUGAUCUCGGUGGUACCGAUACGAUGACCUAGACCAGUUUCCAAAUCUCAGCGAGACCGGCUCCAAUCUCGGAAAUUCUGAUUCUUGGAAUUUUCAUAACAGAAAGUUGGUCACUGAAUCUCGGUGGCACUGAUAUGAAAGUUGGUGGUACCGAGAGAUUAGGGUUUGGCAAAGGAUCUCUCUGGUGGAAAAUCAGUAGGGUCGAGUGGAAAAUAUUGGUGGCACUGAUUUUGCUGGUUUAGCUUUGGACAAAGAUAUAUUGUGGGAGAAUGGCUGAGUAUUUUUGGUGGCUAUCUCUAUGCACUUGAUCAACCAAUUCAUCAUAAUACCCCACCCCUUUUAAUAGUAUUGGGUUUCCUAUGGACUGAAAGUGAUUUCUCACAAAUGUAAAAUGUAGAGUCUUCUUGCUUGAAGCUUAAGCCAAUCCUAUUCCUUCCUUCAUCAAGGGGUUUCUCCUCACAAUCCUGUAGCCAAGGAAUCUUUGAAUUUUUUCCGAAAUAUACUUUGAUAAGCUCAUUAGUCCAAUGAUGCAUAUGUUUUGAUCAAUUAUCACGACCACCUUAGGGAACAAUUGUGCUUUCAGAGAGUUUCACCCCUCACAAACUGUUGUCGUUGCCACCAUAUAAACUAAGAAGCCACUACAAUCAGUUAUGAUGUUGGCAGCUCCCCUACUUUGGAUUGGUUUCUCUCUAAAACCUCAAUAGUUACAGAUCCUGACCGGUCCUCACAAACUGCCUUAUGGAUCACAUCUUUCACUCCAAGCUUUUUCCAAAUUCUAGAAGCACAACAAGAGGUGAAUAAGUAGUUAGAUAUCUUCAAACCCAACAUUGACUAGUAACAUGUAUGUGACAGCCAGUGAGCACUCCAAAGCAUGGUCGAAUUCCCCUCAGAACCUUCCAUGCAAAGGGUUUAACUUUGCGACAAACUCGAAGCCUUCAAGUAUGUUGUGUGUAAGUGUUAAACAUAAGAAAGUUGUUAAACUAAAUUGUGUUCUUAAUUUGUGCUAUAUAACUAGAUAUUGUGCCUUCUAUGAUACUACAAUUACUGUUAAACUGAAAAGCCCGCCACGACAACCAAAAAUGUUGACGUGUUCACUUGGCCUGACAAACAAUACUAGUGGCGGGCAUGUAUAAUAAACUGCCACUGGUACAAACAUUAGCAGUGGUGGACGCCCUGCCUGCCACUGAUGACUGGUUAGUAGCGACAGACACCCUUCACAAUAACCCUGCCAUUGGUAGGCAUUUUGUGUCUGCCACUGCUAGCCUGUUCUCCAGUAGUGACAAGGGUUUUCCUCCAAGACUAUAUCAUUCAUACCUAGUAUGCGUAGGAGUUAUCACCCGAUUUAAUGCAUGCAUGAUAGCAUGAAUCCUUUAGGGAUAAUUUGGAAGCAAGGUAAAGAAAAUGAGGGUAGCAAAUCCUCCCUUAUCACAUGAAUUUAAACAUCCCAUGUUAUUCACUUUAUUAAGUUGCCCCAUUUCAUUAAGUAAAAUUGUGCCCCUCAAAUUCACAAGAUUCCAAAGUUGUGGGAAUGAAAAGUACAAUGAGACGUCCAACUAAAUCAUAUAAUGUUUGUGAAUUUUGAAUCAAAGUUUUUUGAUUGUGCCACAGAAAGAACAAGAAUAUUAUUUACACUUUGUUUGAGCCAAUGCAAUUUUUCUUAUGUAAUGCAAGCAAAAUUGAAUCUGAAGGAGAAAAAUUUCCAAUAGGAUACGACUUUGGGGAUCAAAUAACACCCAUAGUAAAAAAGCAUAGGUCUAUUUAUAUCACAUCUAUAUUAUCUCACAUCUAAGUUAUGACAUCAGCGAAAGUCAAUGCUUUUCCAGCCCACCGCAUUUUCUUAUAUUUAUUUUUUUGCGACAUUUUUUCAUUCGUUUUUUUAUUGGAGCGUGCUAAAAAAUGCAAUAAGACUUGCCUAUGAAUCGAACUCAAGACUAGAUGGUGGUAGUUGAGAGCUCCCACCAGUAUAACCAUUACAUGCAUUUGAUAAAUUCUAAGCGGCAUAUCUUUAAGAAAAUACAACAGAGUUGAUAUUAGAAGAAAUUUUCAAGAAAAAUGUAAAAAAUUUUAAAUGUAAAAUAUUUCUGAAAACCAAAGAAAACUUGAAAUUUCCAAAGUAUUUUUCAAAUAUAAAUAAAGUUUGUAAUGCCAAACAUUUUUUGAAAAAUUAGAAAACAAUUUGAUAUUCCGAUUUUCUUAAAAAAGAUGACACUUUUUGAAAAAUUCCCGAACAAUUUAUAAAUCAGGUACACCUUUUAAAAUUCCAAUUCCUUUAAAAAACAUGGUUAAAUGAAUAUAUUUUUAUUGUAAUCAUAACUUUUCAACAAAUGUUUUUUUGCACCAUUAAAAGAAUGAGGGUGCAAAGAAUGUUCAUGUAGUUCACAAGAAUGUCCGUGAUGUUUAAUAAAAAUGUAUUAUACAAUGGAAAAUAAUCAUAACAUUCAAAUAAUUAUUAUUUACAAUCUUUUAAAAGAAACUUCACGCAUUUAGAAAAAUCAAAACAUUUUCUAGAAAAAAUAUUUGUCCGAUGUAAAAAAAAUGUUCACGUAUUUUUUUAAAAAUCAUACAAUUUAGAAAAAUGAUUUAAAAAAUGUUUACCAUGUAUUCUAAGAAUGCUUGGGCCUGUACUUGGAAAAAAAUAUUCAUCAUGCAUUUUUAAACAAUGGUAUGUGUGUUAAAAAAUGUUCCUAGUGUAUACAUGAAAAUGUACAAUGUGCAUUACAAAAGUUGACAUGUAUUUGUGAAAGCUAAAUUGCUCCCUAAGGUGGUUUUGAUAAUUAGUCACAUCAUAUGCAUCAUUGGACUAGUGAGUUUAUUCAAAUGCAUUUAAAAAAGUUCAAAGAUGCUUUGGCUAUAGGAUUCUGUGGAGAUACCCCUUUGAUGCAAGGAAGGAAUAUGAUUGGUUCAAGCUUCAAGCAAGAAGACUCUACAUUUUAUACUUUGUGAGAAAUCACUUUGAGUCCAUAGAAAAGCCAAUACUAUUAAAAAAGAGUGAGGUGUGAUGAUGAAUUGGUUGCUCAAGUGCUUAGAGAUAGCCACCAAAAAUACUGAGUCACUUUCCGACAAAAUAUAUAUGUCCUAAGCCACAUAAGCAAAAUCGAUGCCACCAACAUUUCCUACUCGUCCAUACCGAUUUUACACUUAGACAAAUUAUAUGCCAAACCCAUCAUCUCGGUACAACCAACAUUCCUAUCGGUGCCACCGAGAUUUGGUGACCAACAUUCUGUUGAGAUGAUUUCAAGUUUCGGAUUUUUUGAGUUUGAAUUUUGUCUCACCGAGUUUUGGAAACCAGUCUAGGUCAUCGUAUCGGUACCACCAAGAUUCUUAUAUCGGUCUCACCGAGAAUUCAAAAGUUGCCACAUUUAGUGCAACUUGGUACCACUGAGAUUCUUUUUGGUGUCACCGAGUUGGGCAAUACUGUUGUAACGGUUGGAUUUUGGGGGAUGCUUAUAUAUACCCCUCCACCUACCUCUCAUUCGUAGAGGAAGCACUCAGAACACACUUACACUUGUGAUAUCCAUUUUUCUGAGAGAGAGACACCUACUCAUGUGUUGAGAUCAAGAGAUUCCAAUCCAUUCAUUUGAACCUUGAUUUCUAGCCUUCCCAAGUUGCUUUCCACAAAAUCAAUCUCUCUUACCCAUGCCAAAUCUAUGAGAGAGUGAUUGAGUGUUGAGGAGACUAUCUUUUGAAGCACAAGAGCAAGGAGUUCAUCGUUCUACCACAUUGAUUACCUUUUGGAGGGUGGUGCCUCCUAGAUAGGUUAGGUGUCUCUUGGGAGCCUCUUACUUCGUAUUGUGGAGUUGAACCAAGAUGUUUGUAAAGGCAAGGAGAUCGCCUACUUCAUGAAGAUGUACCGUGAGUGAGGCUAGUCCUUCGUGGGCGGAAGCCGUGGUGGAAUAGACAAGGUCACUUCUUCGUGGACCCCUUGUGGGUGGAGCCCUCCGUGGACUCUCGCAGCCGUUACCCUCCAUGGGUUGUAGUCUCCACUAACAUGGACGUACGAUAACGCCACCUACCGGAACCAUGCUAAAAAUCUCCGUGUCAACCUUUGUGUUUGAUCUCCCUACCUCACCCUCUACUUUUUUUUGAUGGGAAACUGUAAGCAAAACCCCUCACAACGAGUUUUUUUUGAAAUAAUAAGAACUCAAAUUCGCGCCCGUGGGGACUUGAACGUGGGUGGCUGGGUUGUACAUCUACUCCACUAGACAAGUGAGCUAGGCUCACUUCCUUUACUCUUGCAUGUUUUACUUUCCGCUGCUAUACUCUUAGAUAUGCAUGUGUAGGGUUUACUUGACUAGUUAUAGUUGCUAAAACUGUCCCACACUUCAAAUUGGGAAACAACUAAGUUUUUAUCUUGUCAAGUAGUCUAAUCACCCCGCCUCUAGACAUACUUUCGAUCCUACAAUUUGGAAAAAUAACUAUAUAGGGGUACUGGGUUGGGAAUGAUUUGCAUGAGGAGAGUGGACAUGCAACUAUGUCGGACAUGAGCUGCAUGACUGAGUCGGGUGGGUUUACGUGUUGGGGUGGAAUGGAACUAGAUAGGGGCCGAGGCAAGUUGCGUGUUGAAAAACAAAACACAAGCUUACUUGUGCAUUAAGGGUGGACUUGCAAUUGGAAGAAGAGCUAGGUUGUGAGUGGAGGAUAGACUUACAUAUGGGACAACUACAAAUUGAGACCAAUUGCGUGUCAAUGGUUGACUUAAAACUGGGAUAAAACAAACUAUGGUUCAAGUUGCGAGUUAACGGUGGAUUUGCAACUAGGAUGAUGACAAAAAUAUAGGCUCACUUGCGAGUCAUUUGUGGGCUUGCAACUGGAAUAAAACAAACUAUGAGACUAGUUGCGAGUCGAUGUUGGACUUAUAACCGAGACAAGCAUAUAAACUAUGAUACGAGUUGAGAGUUGAGAGUAAACUUGCAAUUGAGAUGAAAAACAAAACACAUACCCAAUUGCGUGUCGAGGAUGGACUUGUAACUGAGAAAACAAAAAUAUGGGCCCGACUGCGAAUCGAGGAUGGACUUGCAACAGGGACAACAAAAAAACUAUGAUCCCACUUGUGAUUCGAGGACAAACUUGCAAUUGAGGCCCCUACAAGUACAAAGCCCUUAGUUACGAGUUGAGGUUGGAUUCGCAACUCGGGAAACUACAGGUACAGAAAGCCCAGUUGCGAGUCGAGGAUGGACUUGGAACCUUGAAAAUACGACUACAAAAAAGCCUCUGUUCCGAUUUGAGGGUGGACUUGCAACUGGGGCAACUACAUGUACAAAAAGGUCCCAGUUGUGAGUCGAGGGUAGAUUUUCAACUACGAUAACUACAGGUACAAACCUCGAGUUACGAGUCAACGGUGGACUUGCUACUAGGGUACCUAAAAUUACAACGCCUCGAGUUACGAGUCGGCGAUGGAGUUGAAGCUGGUGCACCUACAACUACAAAGCCUCGAGUUGCGAGUUGAGGAUGGACUUGCAACUAGAUUAACUACAAAGUACAAAAGAAAACCAGUUGUGAGUCAAGGGUUGACUUGCAACUAAGACAUCCACAGUUACACAAAAACCCCUAGUUGCAAAUCAAGGAUGGACUUGCAAGUGGAGCAACAAUAGGUACAAAGCCAGUUGUGAGUCGAUGGUAGACUUGCAACUUGGCCAACCACAACUACAAUACCUUCAAAAGAAGGGUGAAACUAUGAAAUUGGGAUGAAACCAACUAUGGGACCAGCUGCGUGUCGAGGGUGGACCUGGAACCGGGAUAAGAAAAAAAGUACAAGCUCAAGUUGUGAACCGAUGAUGGGGUUGAAACUCGAACAACUACAGGUUCAGUUACGAGUCGAUGAUGACUCCAAACUUGCACAACUACAAAACUAGGAGCCCAGUUGCGAGUCAUGGGUUGAUUUGCAACUAGGAUAAAACAAACUACUGGACCAGUUGCGAGUCAAGGGUGGACCUGCAACCGGCAUGAGAAACUAAACACAGUCUGAGUUGCGGCUCAAGGGUGGGCUUGAAACUGCUAUGAAACAAACUUCAUGCCUAGUUGCGAGGUCAGGAUGUACUUGUAACUGGGACAACUACAUGAAACUAAGAUAUGAGUUGCAAGUCGAGGGUGGACUUGCAACACGGACAAACUACACAAAACUACGAUACGAGUUGUAGUCGCGAGGGUGAACUUGUAACUGGGACAACUACAAAACUACGAGUCGAGUUGCAAUUCAAGUAUAUCAUUGCAAUUGGGAUGAAACAAACUACGGGCCUAAUUGCGAGUCAAGGGUGAACCUGUAACUGGGAUGAAAAACUACACAUAGACCGAGUUGCGAGUCAAGACUAGACUUGCAUCUAGGAUGAAAUAAACUACGGGCCUAGUUGUGAGUCAAGUGAGUACUUGCAACUCGGGAAAAUACACAAAACGACUACGAGUAGCGAUUCAACAGUUGACUUGCAACUCGGACAACUAAAUGAAACUACGAUAAGCGUUGCGAGUCCAGGGUAGACUUGCAGCUGGGACAACAAUAAGGCUAUGGGCUCAGUUGCGAUUCGAAGGCAAAUUUGCAAUUGGGACAACUACGAAACCAUGAGCCCAGUUGUGAGUCAAGGGUGAACUUGCAACCAGGAUGAAACAAACUACAUGCCUAGUUGCGAGGCAAGGGAGGACUUGCAACUCGGCAAGUACACAAAACUACCAUACUAUUUGGGAGUCAAGGAUGGACUUGCAACCGAAACAAUAACAAACUACGAGCCCAGUUACGAGUUGAAUGUGGACUUGCAACUAGGAUGAGAAAAACACAUAAUGAUUUAUGAGUUUAGGGUAAACUUGUAACUAGGAAAACUAAAAAUUCAUUUACGAGUUAAAGAUGGACUCUACAAAUUCUCGGUCAUGCCAAAAAAACACACAACGAAAAUGAACAAAAAAUAUAAAGGGAUCGCGCCUCCCAAGCAACGAUAAAAGUAACAUGAGAACAUGCGAGCAUAAAACAAAAUGGAACAAGAGGACGCGCGACAAGAGAGAAAGAGCUGACACGGACGCACAUGAUCGACUUUGUGCAAACAUCAAACAAAUCAGAUGAUUAUAACUUGAUAAGACAUCACUAAAUCUCAUCUAAAUAAGAUUUAGCAAAUCUAAAAAAUAUCUAGUUACACUCUCCUCUACUACACAGUCAAACUAAAAUAAACAUAUAACCCACAAAAAGCUAGUACACACAACGUAAAAGGGCACACUAAAAAAAGUCAUAUAUGACCUCACUGCUUAACGAGGAGCGAAUGAAAAACACGACACAUCAACAAUGAAAGUGAAUCAUAAGCAUAUGAAUCAGAUGAGACGUUGUUAACUCACAUUUACUCCCUCCGUACCUAAAUAUAAGUCUUUUAAUAUAUUUCAUUAGGUGUCUACAUACAAAGCAAAAUGAAUGAAUCUAUACUCUAAAACAUGUCUAUAUACAUUUGUAUGUAGUCCAUUAGUGCAACAUCUAGAAAGACUUAUAUUUAGGAACGGAGGGAGUAGAUGAGAAUUAGACGUGAGUUAACAAAAACAAUAAAAAAAGAAACCCCUGGAUCAUACCGUAGUGACCCACCAAAUGACGCACGUAGAAGUAGGUAAGUAAGUAAGUAUCUUGGAUUACCUGCGAUAGUGGGAGCAGAUAGGAGUGAAAGCUUUGAAUACUUUUGUGACAAAAUCAAGAAGCUUCUGAAGGGGUGGAUGGAAAAGCAACUGUCAACAGGAGGGAAAGAAAUCUUGUUAAAAGCAGUGGCUCAAUCCAUCCCUGUCUUCGCUAUGUCAGUUUUCUGUUUGCCUAAGGGAACUUGCAAGGAUAUCACGGAUGUAAUUGCUCAGUAUUGGUGGGGAGAUGAUGAAGAAAACAAAAAAAUGCACUGGUUCUCGUGGUGGAAACUAUGCAUCCGAAGUGUGAUGGUGGCAUGGGUUUCCGCGAUCUUCACUCUUUUAACUUGGCCCUUCUUGCGAAACAAUGUUGGAGAUUGAUCACAAGGUCGGAGUCCAUCUGUGCUCGCAUCUUGAAGGCAAAAUACUACCCAAAUACAGACUUGCUACACGCUGGACCAAAGAGCGGAUCUUCGUUCACAUGGCAAAGCUUGAUGGCGGGCUUGACUGCGUUUAAAAGAGGGUACAUUUGGCGAAUUGGUUCGAGGGAAAAUGUAAGUAUAUGGAAUGAUCCAUGGAUACCCUCAAGCCCGGACAGAAGGGUGAUAACUCCUCGGCGGCAGAUUCUGAUUUCGAGGGUGGUAGAGCUCAUUGAUCCAGUCACCGGCCAAUGGGAUGAACAAUUGAUACGAGACAUCUUUUACCCAGUCGAUGCAAACAGAAUCUUGCAGAUACCUUUAAAUUUUCAAGCAUUUGAUGACUUCAUUGCGUGGCACCUCACAAGGAAUGGUAUUUUCUCGGUGAGGAGUGCUUAUCAUGAACAAUGGUCACAUAAGCUCAGGGGUCAAUCCCUUGUGAAUUCAGUGUCCACCAGUACUAUGCAGGCAGCUAUUUGGAAGAAGCUCUGGGAGUUACAAGUGCCAUGGAAAAUACAGAUUUUCUUUUGGCGGGCGUUGCGUGGAAUUGUACCACUAAAAUCCAUUCUUGCUAAUAAGCACAUCCCUAUUGAUGGGGAGUGUCCGGUGUGCCAUAGGGGACCUGAAGACAUGCGGCAUAUGUUAUUCCAGUGUGAUUUGGCGAGAAGGUUGUGUGCUGGACUAGGGCUGAUUGAUCGUAUUGAACAAGCAGUUCAAGUGGAUCGCUCAGGGUCAGCCAUCUUAGAAUUUCUCCUACUAGAGCUGGACCAACCAAUGUCGAUCAUGUCAAGUAUUAAUGACAAAGAGGUAAUAGCGGCUGGCUGCUGGUAUCUCUGGUGGCUCCGCCGGCGACACACCCAUCAUGAUUCUUGCCCUCCAUCCUUCAGGUGGCAUACCUCAAUUCUAGCAAUAGUGGGAAAUUACAUAAAAUCUUUAUCAAAGAAGAGGGAACCGGUGGAACACAAGUGGAAGAGACCAGAGGCAAGAUUUAUAAAGCUAAAUGUGGAUGCUUCAUUCCAUUCAGAUGAAGGAUCGAGUUCUACUGCAGGUAUCUUACGAGAUGAAAAGGGUGGCUUUAUUGCAGGGUUUUGCAGAUUCAUUCCCUUUGCAGCUGACGUUGUCACGAUUGAAGCAAUGGCAAUGCGAGAUGGUUUACAUUUGGUGAACUCCUUGGGCUUUAACAGGGUAGAAGCGGAAUCAGAUUCUUUGAGCGUCAUCAAGUGUUGCCAAGGGCAAGAUCAGUGGUGGGAUGCAGCAGCGGCUGUCUUUGCUGAGUGCAUAGAUAUGGCUACAUCUAUAGGAAAGGUCAUCUUUUCUCAUUGUUUUCGUGAAGCUAAUUCAGUAGCUCAUGAGCUAGCAAAGUUUAGUUUCUGUAAUAAAGUUGAGCACAAUUGGACUAAUGAACCUCCUGAGUUCUUAGUUAGCCAAUUGAUGAAUGAUGUUUUGAUUAUUUGAGUUAAUAAAGCUAGCCAUGAUGGCCUUUCCUCAAAAGAAAAAAGGAAACGCAUGUACGCGACACUAGAUGCAGCAACAAAAUAAUCCAUGAUUAAGAUUUGAAAAAAUGUAAAACAAACAGAUGAGAGUAUGUUUUUCAUGAAUAUUAAAAAAAAUGGAAAACAAGAAAAUACAAAUAUAAAUAAAAGAAAACCAGGAAACUAAAAUACUUGAUAAUUUGAAACAAAUAAUAAAACAGAAAAAAGAAAAAGAAAAAGAAGAAACAACAAAAGUAAUGCGGCAGCCGAUAUAGGCUACAGCCCAUAUAACAAGAAGAACCUAUAGGUACGAGGGCAGCUACCUAACAUACCGUUGGCGAUCCUAAAAAAAGUGAUCCUCAAACGCAACAUUCGUUUCUUCAAAAACAGGGUUGGGGGGGGGGGGAUAACAUAGUGUAUGAAACAGAACUACUAGACGGAUGAAAAAAGCAAAUCAAUCCGUGGUUGGAUGAUUGGAGAGACAGUGAUAUCCCAGCACAUCAGGGUUUAAAUCCUGAUGCUACACUAUUUUUAAAUUUAUUUCAGGAUUUCCGACAAUAUGCUUUCAGUGGGAGGAGACAUUCCCGUCGAGGAUAAGAUGCCUACAGUGACUUUGUAAAUCUCAAGACGAUAUACUCGCUCAGUCUUUGAGAGAUGUUCAUAGGGAUAAGAUGUGUGUAUGUUCGGUUUAGGAGUUAAAUCUGAGAUAAGUAUUUUACAUCUAGAUGUGAAAUAGCAAUUUCAAAAAUUCAUAUGAAAAAUCUCUGAAUGAAAAAGACUCAUUAACUUAGAAACUCCAUGCAAAAAUACAAGGCUAACUUUUUUUCUCUUAAAUAAAAAAGAAAAAUAGAGAAAAAUGACGGAGGAUAACACUUGGCAGUGGGCGGGUGAAACACAUCACAAUUUUAUUUUCAAAUUGAUCUCUAACCAGGAAAAUACCCCGCGCAUACAACCAAGACCACGCACUCACCCCAUCGCAUGGCCUCCACACGCCUUGUCGAUAUCCAUGGUGGCAUCUAGCGCCGGCCGGGUGGCACGGAUCCCCCUUCACUCCCUCAGCGUGUGAACGUCGUCGCUCCAGCCCAACCGUUGCUCGUGUUCAGGAUAAGCUGCCCAGCUCGUCCGCCCUUCUUAUUGCCGCUGCUUCUCAGCUCACACGCUCCAACACUAUCCUCUCGUGUCUCGUCGAGCUAUCUGUCCACGGAGUAGUACCUUCCCGAGCUAGCUCGCAGCUCCGCCGCAAUGGCCACCGUGGUGAGCAGCCUCCGCUUGCCCUUCUCCGUCUGCGCCGCCGCCCCCUCGGCGCCCAUGGCAUCCCGCGUCGCGCUCCCGCUGUCGUCGACGGCUGCCAGGGGCAUGAGGCUCCGCGCGCAGGCGACGUACAAGGUGAAGCUGAUCACGCCGGAGGGCGAGGUGGACCUCGAGGUCCCCGACGACGUCUACAUCCUCGACCACGCCGAGGAGGAAGGGAUCGACCUGCCCUACUCCUGCCGCGCCGGCUCCUGCUCCUCCUGCGCCGGGAAGGUGGUCUCCGGCCAGCUGGACCAGUCCGACCAGAGCUUCCUCGACGACGACCAGAUCGAGGCGGGGUGGGUGCUCACCUGCGCCGCGUACCCCACCUCGGACCUCGUCAUCGAGACACACAAGGAGGAGGAGCUCACCGCUUGAAUUCACUGAUUUUGUGUAUUUCCAUCCGUUUCCGGCGUGCGCGUGUAUAUGCACGAUGCAUGAACUGUAUCAGGAUAUUGAGGAGUUACAGAGUAAUUAGUACUUGCUG